rnacentral:lncRNA from 1 species
UGAACCUGCAACCUGGAGCUGAGCCACACACUCGCCCACGGCGUGCAGGCGGGCCCGAAGGCCCACCCCGAUCUCCUCCACGCUCUAGCCGGAGGUAGUGUCUACCUCCUGCCCGGCCGCGCGGCGCUCCUCACGGCACACCUCAACGGCGGUGUCGGCUGCGAUCCGGGUCUCGGGAAAGAGAUCUGGAGUAACGACAACCAGGACGUAAGAACACAACAAGAGGAGGAGACGGCAAAAAGACCAAACACAAAACAAGGAAAAGAGACCCACGAUGGAAGGCGCCGUCGGUCUCAUGAGAGCCCUCGAGGACCUCGCGCUCCCGCACCUUACUCGCAUGAGUAAGGCGGGCGACUUCCUCCUGGAGGGUCACAGCAGACUCCAGAGCCUUGGCCAGCUGUGUCUGCUUCUGGGCAAGGGCUUCAUCCUUCUCCCUCAAGGCGACGUCCUUGAGGUCCACCUCCUUGAGGUGAAGCGACGCGAGGCGGUCCACGUUGGCAGAGUAGGAGGCCUCCUUCUCCUGCAGCGUGGCCCGCAGCCGCUCCAGCUCGACCCGGUCAGCCGCCUCGAGCUCCUUCUUCUCCACCUGAAGAAGGUCCAGUUGCUCUUGGAGCCGGCCGCCGACGUUGCGCAGGGCAUCACGCUCCGCGGCAACCUUUCCCAGCCGGGCUUCAAGCUCGGCAAUCCGGCUAUCAGCCCCCACGUGCUGGUCCCGUAGCUCGUUGUACGCCUGUACCUGAGCAUCGUAAAGCGCCUGCCAAAGGGGAGAGAAAGGGAACAGGAUUAAGAUUCGACCUGGUUAAAAGCCUAACUAGCCCGAUUCUCGGGGGCUACACCCAGUGGGUGCGCUUGCGUGCCCCCAUUGAAGAAAACUGUGUAGGGAAAAAGGCCUCCAAGAUAUUCAGACCGGUUGGCAAUCAACCCGCCCGAUUCUCGGGGGCUACAACCAGUGGGUGCGCUGUCACACCCCCACUAACGCCAAGAGAAGAGAAAAAAUUACAAAGAAAAACCAAAGAAGGCAAUGCCUACCUGGGUGCGGGCUUCCAGGUGCUCCAUGUUGCCGCAUACCACGCGGGCCGACUGCUCCACCUUCGACCGGAUGCUCAUAAACAUCGUCACCAGCUCCGGUACGCCGAAAAGAACGGUGCCGGCGGGCAGUCGCAGGCGGGCCAAGUUCGCCGCCCGCCAUGUCUUCAUGGGCCGGCUCCGAGCCCGGCCCCGGGCCCUUGGCGCAACACGGCCAUGCUGGGGAACGACGAUGGCGCCGGCUCCUGGUGCCGGCUCGACAGACGGCUCGGGCGCCGUCCCAACCGGCGCUACCUCCCCCGCAGGAGGCGGAUGGGCCGCGUCCGGCGCAUCCAUGGUCUCCCCUGGGGCAUCAGGGGUCGCGUCCGGCGCUGUCAGGUCCAGCUCCGACGCGUCAGGAGCCGCCUCGGCCCUGGGAGAAACACGGAUCGUCUCCAGGUCCACCUGCUCCGAGGCUUCCGGUUCAGAUGGUUGGGCCCCUUCGGUCCUUGGGGCCGGCCUGGAGGCGGCCUCGCUAGCUGGCUCCUCCGCACGGACAUGUGCGGAGGGGUCAUGUCUAGCCUUCGCACGCUUCUCCGCCAGCCUCUCGACCCGGCUGGGGCGAGGCUAGCCCACGGCGGCCUUCCCCGCAGCCGUGUCCGAUCGGCGCUUGGACUCUAUCUCGAGCUCCCUCUCGGCAGCAUCAGCCGCUACCCAGCCGGCCCGUUCAGCUGCGGAGGCGGUGUCUUCAUCCGCAUCCUCUGCCCCCCUGUCAAGCAAAGCUCCUAAGGAACAAAGCUCAUUCCAAGAUGGGCAAAGGAAAAGAGGAGGAAACCAUGCCCCCCAACUACAGGGACCUGCCUCCGGCCACCGCCACGGCGCCUCUUGGCACCGCCUGCUCGCUGCCCGGCUGGAGGACCCGGCGCCGGCCGCUUAGAGGUCGGCCGGGAAGCUGUGGCACCCUUGCCCUUAUUCCCGGCUACCUCGUCAGCAACGGUCGCUCCGCCACCUUGACGCCGGCCACGCAUCAGUAGUGGGCUGGUGACCUCCUCCACCUCAUCGGAGUCUUCCUCGAAGGCUGCAUCAGAACAGAAUGAGGCUACCUCGUCGUCGUCCGUCCAGUCUGCUACGGCGUGCCGCGUGUACUCACCAGACGGCUCGGUCCCUUCCGACUCCAGGGGAUCUUCCGAGCCGGCGGAGGAGUCUGAGCGGGGCUCCAUCGCGCCUUCGUCCUCCAUCUCGGAGGCGUCGGACACCUCCACAUCGGGAGCAGGGUGACGGAUGGACCCCUGCAGGGUCUCGAACAUCUACAAAAGAGGAAUUCAACCAAAGGCUCAGCAACGCCACCGGCUACAAGACAAAACAACAGAGAAGAAUGGAGUAAGGCUACCAUCGGAGGCGGGUGAGCCCUGUUGAACGGGGACAUCCCCCAUGUCCAUUCCCCGCCCUCAUCCAUGCGGGCGGUGGAGAUCAGGUUCACCGUUCGCGCCACAACGCUCGGGGUAAACCUCUUGGUGGACAGCCGGCAUGGAUCAUGCCGGCCGCUCAUCUGGCAGACCAGAUGCGGCUGCCUUUGCAGAGGCAGAAUCCGGUGCACCACCAUGGUGGCGAGAAGGUCGCGGCCAAGGAGGCCGCUCUUCUCCAAGAUGUCGAGGUGGGCACAGAUAAGUGCCACCUCAAGAUGCAGCCUAGGAGUCUUCGCAUCCCAGUUUUGCCGCGUCGGGGGAGCGAUGGCAAAUGGGGGCAUGUUGAGGGCGUCCUGGGCCGGGUCGGCACUCUUCACGUAGAAGAAACCCUUCUGCCAAUGCUUGAUGGAGUCUUGCAGAGGCAUCUGGGGGAAGCCGGACUUCAGGCGAUGAUGCACCAACGCGGCCCCGCACGGCGUCAUGGGGCGCGGCCCAUGAGCUUCUCCACCUCGGAUUUCUCCAUGGCGAUGGAUUGCUGCUUGAAGAAGAAUAGGCUGCACCACAGAUCGACGCGAGGCUCGAUACCGACGAAGCCCUCGCACAGGACCACGAAGGCGGCCAGUUGCAGUAUGGCGUUCGGCGCCAGAUGAUGCGGCUGCAGGCCGAAGAACUGGAGCCAUUCGGCGAAGAAGGAGCUAGCCGGGAGCCCGAAGCCCCGGUAGAAAUGCUCGACGAAGACCACAACCUCUCCCGCGGCGGGUCCGGGAGCGGUCUCGGAGCUGGGGAGGCGCACCAAAACUUGGGAGGCCGGGGGCAGCAGGCGAUGGUGACGAAGCGCUUCGAUGUGCCCCUCGUCGACGUCGCUGCCCAGCCAAGCCCCAUGCGAGGACGCCUUCUGCGCCGACGACUUCUUCGAGGAGGAAUCGCCGGCCAUGGCUGCGGGUGGUGAGAGCUCCACGCGGUCGGCGAGGUCGCGACGGCGAAGAUGAAGAAGACGAAGGGCGCGAGCUCUUCUUCUCAGGACGCAAGGAGUAAGAGGGCGCGGAUGCAGGGCGAGAAGAGGGGGCGAAUGGCCUCCUCGAAACCCUCGCUUCCCAUUUAAACCCCCACGAAGCGUCGUGGGGAGGGGAUCCGGUGCGCACCAGGCCCCAUUAAUCCCGUGUAUUACGGGCGAUAACGCUCCCCUAAGCCCAACCGCCGCGGAGUAAAUCUGCACAGGAUCUCCCGCGCGGAGGCCGAGGGGGCGUCGUGGCGGGACCCAGGGCCCAGGCCCGGUCCCGUCAGCAGUAAUCGCCAUCAUUACGCCAGGCGGGGCCUGGCACGUGGAGUUCUCUGGGCCAGUUACGACUGGACCGAGGCGUCGCUUCGAAGCCACCCGGUUCCGAAGCCGGCGUCCUUCGCCGCUAAUAACAUUCAAAAUAUCAAGACAAAUCAACAAGCCGGUGAGGCCGCCCGCCCGCAGGCGGCAGACCUCGCCAGCUUCGGGGACUACUGUCGGGGGGAUAACCCCGGGGUAGGCUCAUCAAGCCUAUUCCUUCAUUUCCGGGCCAAUGGACAUGAACGUAGGAAGGUUCCCAAGGCCCAAGUCUUCUAGCCGGCUAGGCAUCACCUGCCGGCUGGAAGACGAGGCGGCCACCUUUCUGGCCGGCUAGGCAACCCCUGCCGGCUAGAAUCCAGGCGGCCUCCCCUUCAGAGCCGGCCUGGUCCCGCCAGCCGGACUGAGGAGGCGGUGGCCACACUCAAGCCGGUUGACCAAGCAGGCUCGCCGGCCGAGGAACACAAGUCACAUCAGAUCGUAGGUCAGGAAGAGACCUCACGAUUAAAGGUAGCUACGCGUCAGCAAAGGUACAGGAUCAGGGCGCCCGACACGUACGAGCGUCGGCGACCACGUCGCUGACCUACCCCGGCUCUGAUCCAUCACCUAGCAUAGUGUUGGACCGUCACACUCUCACUCCAUUACUGCACUCGACGUGGGGAACAGUGGAGGCGGUCGUACUACCUGCCCAUGAAGAAUCUCGCGGGGCGACGCUUGACGUACAACGCGUGCUCAGCGUCAGCCUUACGCGAGAGCCCCAUUGGCCAGCCGGCGGGUCCCACAGGCAAUCGAGACCAUGCAACCGGCGGGCCCCUCAUCGACAAGACAAGACCCUUGUAGGCCCCUGGCCAGCCGGCGAAGCAACCAGCCGGGUCCCACGCUUGUACCCUUUAUCCAUAUUGUAGGCCGGGGGUUCGUCUAUAAACCCCCCCGGUCACCCCCAUGCAAGGGGGACGAUCCUUCACGAGUCAUUCAGCACAACACAUUCACCAACCACAGAGAGAGAGGUAGAGACGAGCCAGCUGCUCCCGUCUUCCUCCUCCCAACACAGCUCCAGGAGCGACAUUGUACUCUGUUCCUAUACAUCAAACACUCCAGCAGGAUUAGGGGUAUUAUCUCUACGGAGAGCCCUGAACCUGGGUAUAUCGUGCGUCCCAUGCGUGUACGAACCUCGUUCCCAGCGUCCACCUUUGUCCCUUCGGUUCUCACCGACUUUAGCCUACCUAUGGCAUAUGUUGUGAGUAUUCACCGACAAAAUGCUUUCGCUUAACGGUUUACGAGGGUACGUAGACACACUCUCUUUCUUUUGUUGCUAUGCAUCUUCAUAGAUAGAUCUUGAAUGUUGGUAGGUUUUUAUUUUUUACUAUUCAUGCUUCGUUCCCUAAUAGGAAACACUUCGUCGGAGUACUUCUCAUUGAGCAUCGACCAUUCAUUUUCUCCCGUCAACCGUGGCUUGCUUGCGACACCCCGUUGAUCUUUGGGUGACUUGUGAGUUCUCACGUUCGAAAAGAAACACGGAUGGCAAUUCUACUUUCUUCGUUCUUAAAUAUAAGUCUUUUUAGAUAUUUUAUUAAAGACUACAUACAGAACAAAAUGAGUGAAUCUAUAUUUUAAAUCCUGUCUACAAACAUUCGUAUGUAGUUCAUGGUGAAACUUUUAAAAAAACUUAUAUUUACGAAGGAAUUACGAAGGAAGGGAGUACACGAGAGCUCGAGCUCUGAAAAGGACAUUCCGAUUUCUAGUAAACAAUUCAAACUCCCCAACCAUCAUCAUUAGUAGUAACAAUCGUCCUUUCUUGGAGCAACAGCUCCUUCUAACCUUUCUGGAGGUACCGUGUCAGUAUCCCACUUCCACAGAACCAGUGACGCCUAUGAGGCCAAGCAAAUUAAGCACACUACACACAUUUUUGUCUCAGCCGCGUAGAUGGCCACCACAGUCUCGCGAUCUUGUGCGAUGACCUCAGACGAUCCCGAAAGGUCCACCGUGCCCAUGCUUAAUUCAGAAAUAAAGCCAGCCACAAAACUGCACGCUUUGCUGUUUCUUUCUUUCUCCCGAUGCGACAAGAUCCUUCAGGUGGCCGGCCGGACGUCCAUCGCCUGACAGGCGCCCGCAUGGGCGCAGCCACGUCUCCACGAGGCACGAUGGAGCUGGCUCACGGGGAUUUUACAAAGGGAUCGCGUGGAUAACGAGCUCGCUCGUCGGUCUGGGAGAAAGACCGUCGGUGAGCCGUUGGUGCGUGGGUUGCUUGCUCGAUCGAUCGCUUGUGUGGUUAACUGAUGCCGUGCACUGUAAGAAUCACCACCCUGUCCGUGGAUGCAUUAUUUUACACGCCUGCGACGAUGCCACGGCGACGGAGAAGAAAAAACUACGGCAGCUUCUCAUACUAGUCUGUAGGUAAUUUGCAUCACGACUACCAAAGAUGGCUUUUUCUCACGUCUAUCUCGUCUCCCUCGCCGCAGGCGCCAUCCCGGCGUCGAUCCUCGUCGCCGGUGACUCCACGGGCCAGCGCGCAGGAGGGGGUGACCGUGGGGAGCAUUCAGGUGCCCCUUCGCAGCCGUGUACCGCAAGCCACGAUCGAGUCGGGCAUUCUCGGGCCUAGGCCCGAGUCGCGCGUUGGGCAGGGGGAGGCCUCGGCCCCGCUCCAGGAAGGCCCGCGUGCUACAGGGAGCGGGACUAGGGUUUCAGAGAUAUCCCCAUCCACUCCGCAGCGUCGCCCAUUCCAGAUCUCGCCUCCCUCUUCGGCCACUUCUGGGGAAAGCUAGGGUUUCGCCACCUAGGGUUCCACCUUCCUUCGGUUGGUGGGAAGGGAAGGUAGGGGGAGACAGCAGAUCCUUCGCAGAGGUGGCGGCGUCGCCACCGCGGAAUCCAUCCGUGCCAGGGCGAGAGAUGGGUGGCCGUGGAUUCCGUGGUGAUGGAGGUGGCGAGGGUCGCUUCGGGCGCGGCGGUGGCGUUGGUCGGGUCGGGCAUGGAGGAGGCCGUGGCGGAGGCGGACGCAACAUGGUGUGGACACGCGAGGCCGAAGAUGGCGGGCAAAACUCCUCCAAUGUAGAUCCGCGGCAAGGAGGAUCUGACAAGGCCAGAUGGGAGGCGGCGGCCAUGGAGCCACACAAGGAGGAGCCCGUGGGGAGAAGUGGGGCGACAACAGCGCCCAGGUCGCCGUGGGUGGAACCGCACGAGGACGCCAACAGGAUCUGCGCCAGUAACAAGUUCUUCAUCAACCUCCUGAACGUCGACAUCCUACUCCCGACAAGAGGAACGUCUCUCCACUAGUGGGAGGCGCUGAGGUUUGCAUUACCUGCAAGGAUCCUGGGCAUUUACCAGUGUGUUGUCCUCGUGCUAUUUGCGGUAGAUGUGGGAUUCAUGGCCAUCUAGCUCCCAUUUGCAAUAGUGUACUUUCGUGGGAUUGUGUGGCACCCAUGUGCGGUUUCCAGGCAGAGGGUAAAGGUUUCUUUUAUAUUCAUGAUCAUAGCACACCCAGUCAGACCACUGACAGAAACAGAUUCAUUGUGAUAUCUGUGGUAGAGGGACAUGCAUCUGGGAGGCAGCUAGAGGAAUUUUUUAAUGCUUACAUAAACACUAAUUGGAGGUGCUCGGCUAGAUCUAUUGGCCCUAAUACUUUUGUGAUGAGGUUUCCUUCCCCUAGAGAUGUGGACAAGGCAUGCUUUGCUGAAAGCAUGAAUGUGAAGAGUUGUGGUGUUGUGAUAAAUCUUAGAAAAUGGUAUGGAUCUGUGGGUGCUAAAGGGGUUUUGAAUGUUGCUUGGGUUAAUGUGGGUAACAUACCUUUAGACAAGAGACAUGAGAGGAAUAUUGCGUAUGUGGGAUCUCUGGUGGGGGUAACCUUGGAAAUUGACAAAGCUACCAUUAAUAGGCCUGAAUCUAUUAGAAUCAAGCUGGGUUGCACGGAUGCUGAGGACAUCCCUGCUUCAGCAGAAGGGGUGCUCGGAGGGCACUUUUAUGAUUUUUUCUUCUCUGUUGAUAAAAUCCUGGUUAAAAAUCCUCCGAGAGAAAAAAUUACAAUGCAGCAAGAAACUGAGGAAGGUAACACUGCUAAAAAGGCUAGAUUUAAUACUGAUGCAUGUGUGGAAAGAAAUAUUGCAUCCUCAUCCAAUAUGGGGGAGUCUUCGGCUCCCCCGGGAACAACUGGAGGAGGUUAUGGAAAAAAUAUGGUUAUGAAUCCUGUGGAAGAAAAUAUUGAGGAAGAGAAAAAACAAAAUGAUAGUGAGGAGAUGUUAUCUGAGGAUGAAAGUGAAGAAGUGGGUAAUGAGCUACUUAUUGAUACCAUGGUGGAAGAGGCUGAAAAGAAUCAAAAAAGGGAGAGGAGGAAAAUGUGGACUCUGAUAUGGUCUCCUAUGAUGAAAUAGUGGUGAAUUCUAUGCAGAUUGUUCCCAGUUCUGCAUCUGGUAAAAUAUUCUCAUCAUAUGUGGAAGCAUGUAUGGGGGAACCUGUGGUGACUGAGAUAGAUCCUAAUGAAUCUUCUGGUCAGCAAAAAAUGCAAUCCUAUUCGGUGCAGUCCCCUAAUAACUAUGGUGAGAAAGUGGACAUGAUUCCUACUCCGCCUGUGAGGGAGGAAAUGCAAGUCAGAUUCAGCAAAAGGAAUGUGGGGGCUAAUGUGGAGCACAUGGGUGUCAGAGCUGAGAGGAUGGCUCAAAAGAGAGAUCUGCAAGGUAAAAAAACAUCACCUGGUAAUUCUUUUGAAGUUUUAUCAAAUCUUGAGAUUAUAUCUGCUGCUGCUCAAAUGGGUGUUAGUAUUCCUGAUGAUAAUUUUUAAUCUAUAGAUAUUAUUAGAGAACUUGAGAUUUCGAGAGCUAAUAUUGCCAAAAAAGUUGAUAAGAAUGAUAAACAAUAGGAUAAAAUGUUGUUUAUCACUAAUGCUGCUCGAGAAGCAUCUCCCUUGGAUACAGAGUGGGUAGGGGAUGAGGACUUGGGUGUUAAUGAUUUUAUUGUAGUUAGAUCCAGGAAGAAAGAAAGGAAAAAAGUGAAUAUCACAAUUACUAAACCUGUGACUAGAAGUCAAAAACAAAAAGUGGGGGAUGAUGUAGGUAAGGCCAUGGCUCCCUGGCAAACCUAGCACCAAAACUCAACUCUCGAAAAAUAGAAAAAAUGAUUAGUAUAUUCUCGAAUUGUAGGGGGAUUGGGAAGAGAGGCAUGGGGACAUAUAUAUCUGAUUUGAUCAGAGAUUAUAAAUUUGACUUUGUUGGGAUUCAGGAGACUAUGAAAAAAGACUUUUCCUCUAAAUUCUUGAGGAAAUUUGACCCCGGAGAAGCCUUUAGUUGGAAGUGGAUUCCUUCAGAAGGGAAGUCGGGAGGAAUAUUAGGUGGAUUUAGAAACAAUGUGUUUGAUCUGGUGGAGUGUGUUGUGGGCAAAUACCUUAUGAAGUUUGAGUUGUGGAAUAAAAAUCUUAAGAUGAAUUGUUGUAUUCUGGUGGUUUAUGGAUCAGCGCACGAAGAGUUUAAGACUGAUUUUCUUACGGAGCUUGCGGCGAUAUGAGUCACAUUACUUUCCCCUACAUAGUAGGAGGAGACUUUAACAUCCUUAGGUUUGCUAGUGAGAAAAACAAGAGGGUGAGACUAGGCCAUUCCUCGAAUCUUUUUAACUCCAUUAUUAACUCUUUUUCCUUGCGUGAGAUGGAUAUGAAUGGUGGUAUAUAUACUUGGUCUAACAACCAACAUGAGCCAACUUUGGAGCAACUGGAUAGAGUGUUCAUGUCCAAAUCCUGGGAAUAUCUUUUCCCUUUUACCUUUGUUAGGAAAAUUGUAAGAGAGGUCUCGGACCACUGUCCCCUGAUAUUAAACACUCAUGAUAAUGUGCCCAUUAAUUUUGGCAAAAUAGAUUUUAGAUUUGAUCUAAAUUGGUUGAAUAAACCUGAUUUUACUACUCUGGUGGCUAAAAUUUGGAUGCAACCUGUCGAAUCUGUCAAUCCUAUUGAUAUCGUGAAUAUCAAGCUGAAGAGAUUUAAAAAAUAUUUUAAAGGCUGGGGCUCGAAUAACUUUGGUAAAGCGAGAAAGAGGAGAAAAUGGUUAAGGGAGGAACUAGGUCAUAUUGAAGAGUUGCAAGAAACUGAUACCUUGAGCCGUGAGCUUUACUGUAAAAAAGUGGAGAUGCUAGUGGAAUUAAACAACUUGUUACUAGAAGAAGAGGUGUCUUGGUUGCAAAAAUCGCAUGAUAAUUGGUUGCUAAAAGGGGAUAGUAACACUGAAUACUUCCACAGAACGGUGAAUGGAAGGAGAAGGAGGAAUACGAUUAUUUUGCUUAGUUGUGGAGAUAUGGUGAUUGAAGGGGAUAAGAACCUGCUUAAACAUGCCACUGAAUUUUAUAAAGAUUUGUUUGGGCCUGCUCUUGGAAACUUAUGUAAGAUAGAUAGUAAUAUGUGGGGUGACAAGGAGAAGUUGGGGGAUAUUGAGAAUUUUAUCCUCCUCAUACCUUUUUCAGACACGGAGGUUAAAAAUGCCUUGUUCUCGAUGAAACACAGUAAGGCCCCUGGACCUGAUAACAUUCCGAUUGAAUUUUUUCAAUCCUGCUGGGACAUUGUUAAAAAUGAUGUGAUGUUGCUUUUUGAAUGGUUUUACAAGAAUAAGCUUGAUGUAGAGAGGCUUAACUAUGGUAUAAUAACACUGUUAACUAAAGUGGUUGGAGCUAGCAAGAUACAACAGUUCAAACCUAUAUGCCUUUUAAGAUGUGUUUACAAGUUGAUUACAAAAGUGCUUACUAUCAGAUUGGAACCUUUUGUGGAUAUUCUGUUUAGUAGGCAUCAGAAUGCUUUUAUCAAGAGCAGAGAUAUUAUGGACGGGGUCAUGUCAUUACAUGAAAUUUUGCAUCAUACGUAUGUCCGUAAGAAAACAGGGAUUGUGCUCAAACUUGAUUUUGAGAAAGCAUAUGAUAAAGUUAACUGGGAAUUCCUGUUGGAUUGCCAUAGCAAAAGAAACUUUGACACCCGAUGGAUAGAUUGGGUUCGGAGGAUUUUGGUAGGUGGCACCAUUAGUGUGAAGUUAAAUGAUGAGGUGGGAGAAUAUUUCCAGAGUGCCAAAGGAGUAAGACAGGGUGACUCCCUUUGUCCUUUCCUCUUUAACCUGGCUGUUGAUUGUCUUACAAGGAUGGUCCUUAAGGCACAGGAGAAUGGUUUGUUUACUGGGUUAGCAGCAGAUUUAGUGGAGCAUGGGGUUGCUAUACUUCAAUAUGCUGAUGAUACUGAAUAUCAAAUUAUUGCUUUAUCCGUUUGAGGUUAUGUCAGGCUUGAAAAUCAACUUUUUGAAAAGUGAGAUUUCUCUCAGUAGGUGCUGAUGAUGAAACUAUGAGAAAUUAUGCUGAAAUGUUCAAUUGUGAGAUUGGAUCCUUGUCGUGGUUUUGUCACGGCAGAUGUCCUCGAGAAAGGACUUAGUACUGGAGCCAUCGCACCUUGGUGGCGACUCAAAAGGGGUUAAGCGGGAGAGACACGGCGAUUUACCCAGGUUCGGCCCCUGUGAGGAGGUAAUAGCCUACGUCCUGCUUUGGUGUGUAUUGAUAUGGAUUCGAUUACAAGAAAGGCGUAACUCGCCUAAAUCUAGCACUCGAUGAUUUCUAACCUACCUCUCCCCCUCCAGACUCGCCUUUAUAUAUAUAGGUCGAAGCCUUAGGGUUUUACAAGAGUCCCUUCCUCUUUACAAAUCGUGACCACCGCGGUCUCUAAGUCGCCGUCUUGCAAAACCCAGAGACCUUCCAUAAAUCAUAACCAUCCUGCGACUUUGAACCGCCCAGGCUGAGGCCCAACUAGCCCUAAAGGAUGAAUCGCCUUACAAGUAACCCGGCCCAUAUUCGGCGGGUCACUUAACAGGCAAUAUCCCCAACAUUAGGCCCCAAAUUGACUUGAAUCUUCAUGCCAAUGCUUCCGUUUUAGUUGAAGGUGAUUCACUCCUCUGUGUUCCUCCAGACGCCAGAAAUUUUAACUCGCCAACUGGUACCGGAAAAAUUCUUUGAGCCGCCAAUGCAUUUCCCGUCAGCACUUUCCUUAGCCCUCGAUUUUCGGGAACUCCAACACAAUCCCAACGGAUCUUUUAGUGCAUCAUUAUCCCAAAAUUUUCGGACGUCAUCAUGGCGAAUCUUUUCUUCCUCGACGGUUCCCGCUCACGGCGCCUCGAUCCCCGCGCCCGUCCUGAUAAAUAGGCGGAAGGGACAGGGCUGACACCGGCCACCUACCAGUCUCGUCAGUCCCUCCACCAUCAUUACAGCGAGAAGAGACACUCCGCAUCCCGAAGGCUUCGCCGCCGGCCGCAAGCUCCACCCCCGUCCGAAGAACUCCAGUGCUGCCCGCAAGCCGUCGCCGUUCGAGGAGCUCCGGUGCCGCCCGCAAGCCGUCGCCGUUCGAGGAGCUCCAGCGCCACCCGCAAGCCGUCGCUGUUGCCAGGCUCCGCCGCCGCCGAGGGUCCCUUCAUUCUCCGGGACCCCUGCGCUUCUCCAACAGCCUCCAUCACCGCCAAUCUUCUUCGACCAAGAUCUUCAGGUUAGGCCACUGUUUCCCCUUCUUUAAAGGUAGAUUUAUUUUUUGUUCAUGCUUCCGCCAUUGCCAUGCUUCCGCCAUUGCUAUAGUUCCGAAGCCCUCCGCUCGCAACCAUCUAUUACCCUCGAACUGAUUUAGUCCGAGCGCCAUUUGGGCACCCAGUGCCUUGGAUAAUCUUAUCCAUCUGUGCUCUUGCGAAUUUUCUAAACACACUAGUUUCUUCAAACAUGAUGCACCACCCAGAUCACACAUCGUUCAUGUUUUAGCCAUAUCCGCAAGUUUUUAUAUCUGUUCAACAGAUCCAUUCCUCAUUCACUGUUUGUAAAAAGCUGUUUGGAAACUUCGUCCUUCCCUUAGUGUUUCGGGAAGAAUAAAUUUCAUCACCCACAGUAACAUCGCUUCUGAGAAUAGCCCUGCUCCGAUAAGUCGCCACAUCAGCCCAACCCGGCCUCCUAGUCCGGCGGGUUAAGCAAGAGCUGAUCCCGAUUCACAUAGUAAAUGUUCGAGACAUGUAAUACCAUAUUCUUACCUAUUUGUAGCAUGGGUGCCGUUUUCAAGAGCGAUUGGCUUCCUACCAAAGUCGAUGAUGCUGUUUUGGCGAAUUACGUGAAAGCGGGCUGCUUGGAUCCUCAAUACGUCAUUGGAUGGCGCACCGGGUUCGGAGAAGACCUCCCCAACCCCAAGGAAGGGGAGAUAGUAGUUUUUGUGGAACACUUGGAACGGGGUUUUAAACCGCCCGGAUCUAAAUUCCUUAGGGACGCUCUGCACUUCAUGAAUGUCCGACUCCAGGAUUUGGGACCCAAUUCCAUAAGCAAUCUAAGUCAAUUCCAAGUCCUUUGCGAAGCUUAUUUGCGGAUCGAGCCUUCCGUCCCUCUGUUUUGGUACUUUUUCCACUUGAAUCGCCAGACGGAAUUCCACAAUGGCCCCAGUUUGGAACUUGGCGGGGUCAACGUCCAGCGUCGCAGGGACAGUCCGUUUCCUUCACUCACUAUGCCUAGCCACCCCAAAGGCUGGGGUGAAUCUUGGUUUUAUUGCAAAGAAACAUCCCCUGCCGGCGAGAACAAACUUCUGGGCUACAGGCCAACCCGCCUUCCGAUCAAUUUUAAGCACCCUGACAAGCUCACCGAGGAAGAAGAGUCGGACUUCAUCCCAAUUCUGUCCGAACUGAGAUCCUUGACGAACAACGGUCUCACCGGGGUUGACUUGAUCCGCUGCUGGGUCGAAUGGCGGAUCCUUCCUCUGAGCCGCCGAGAUGGCCUGAUGUGCGAAUUUGACGGUACUCUGGAUCAUCCCCAAUGCUACUUCCACACAACAUUAACGGAAAAAGACAUCGUCACCAUCAUCAGGAAACUGACCGGCGAACCUGCAGCAAAAUGCAGCCAAAUCGGCCUUAAGCCCUUCUGCAAGAUUAACCCGGCACCCAAGGUAACCAAAGCUAACUCGCCCUCAACUUUUUAUUCCAUCUGUUUUACUGCCAUCAUGACUUCAUGCCAUAUCCCUUUCCAGAAAGGCGACAAGUUCUGGUCUAGGAGACCUAAGAAACAAGCCAUGAAGAGUGCUAAGCCGCCUUCCAAGAAAAACAAAGGCAAAGGUAAAUCUACUGCGGCCGAGCCAUCUGAAGUCGACGAAUCUCAAGCUGGCGACGCACUCUCUGAGGUACCAAUCUGUCCUCUUUUUCACUCGCCACCUAUCACCUUUUAACUUUUAUUUAUCUCUCACUCCUCUUAUAAUAGAAUGAAGAUAAUGAAAGCCAGGAAGACUCUGUCGAGGUAAUUUCCGUCUCCUCCGAUUCAUCUCCUUCUCCACCUAAGCUAGCCCGGCGAAUAUGUGGGAAAGUACCUCUCUCACAUCCAAAUGCCCAUUUGGACCCAAAUUUCUUACUGAAGAAAACGCAGCACGCCUCGAAACGGAAAACGCGAAGUCACUCUGGCGACCUAACACCUGGCUUGCCAACAACGAACAAAAGAAGACCAAGCGAGGUACCUCCUUUUUUUUAUUUGAGCAACCAUUGUUCGUGUUGCUUUGGAUCAUAGUCAUAACCCGCCUGUAUUAUCGAUGUACAAAUUCUGCAGGAUUCUCCCCCUACUUCUGGCGACUCAGUGAUGUCGACCCUUCCACCAAUGAUCCGAGUCCCGGGGUAAGUUUCUUGUCCUGAUCCUUGAGAAUAGCACUCUUUUUAAUUUUUUAACACACCUAUCUCUUUCAUUAGGGCGCAAGCCAAAAAGAGGAAGACCAGUGGAUCAAUCCCUGACGCCACUUCUGAACUUCCAAGGAAAGCUACUCCGACUCAAGAAGAUCCGAGUCAAAACGAGCCGACAAUUCAAGCAAACCCUCCUGAGUCGCCCAAAGGAUCAACGGAUGUCCCUAGAUCACCGGUCGUAAUGGCGACAGCUGAUGACCCAGAUGCUGUGGUCAUUACUGGUUUUGGUUUCUCCAAGCCGGCAGCGACAAUCCUCUCCAAACAUAUAGCAUCCCCUUCUCCAUCAAUUCCCGAGUCUGGGCCUUCCAAGGCGAAACUUUCUGACUAUGCAAGUCUGGAGUUUAAAGAACUCUGUUCUGGCUUCGCAAGUCGCCUGGAAGCGAGUUGUGAGAUGGAAAAUAAUCUGCUAAAGAUGUUAAAUAACAAGCAUGAGGUAAAAUUUUAUACUCUAUACUAUCUCCAUUAACCCCCAAUGGGCCGGCUCAUCAGUAAAAGGAUGAGCCGGGUCUUGAUUUCUGUAUGAUCUUUCUUGAAAAUUAUACAUUAGCCCCCAAGUGUCAGGGGUAUUGCCUUGCAAUAUUGAUGAGACUUGUCUUUGUUUUAAAUUUUGAACAGGAAAGCCUUGCCCAGACCGAACUGGCCCUGGGCGACUUAAGGAAAAACUUGGCUGACCAACAAGAUGCCCGAACUCAGUCGGAAGACAAAUAUAAGUUGGCUCUGGUUGAAUUGGAAAAUCUCAAAGCCGAGUUAGAAAGAACUCAGGCUGACCACAGCGCGGCUUUGACGAGAGCCGAAAAAGCAGAAGCAAAGCUGGCAACUGUGCAGCAGGAGCUAUCCGGCUUAAAGCGCCAUAUCUCCAACAUGACACAAGCCAUCUUUGGUAAGCUUUACCUAACUCUCCAAUCUUAUCCUCUUCCUUGGGCAAAUUCCUUAAUGUUAACUUACCGGUUAUUCAAUCCCAGGCUCGAGAGUCGCCAAUCUGCAAGAUGACUGCGUGUUGAUGCUGAAGGCAAUCUAUACACUAACGGAACAACUGUACACAGGCAGUGUGCUGACCGUCAAAGCCGUGAUAGGUGCAAAAGAGCCCAUAACUUCCAUCAAGAAGGUGCUUGGAUAUCUAUCCACACUUUCUCCCCAGAUCGGCGAGUUAACCCGAUCAGCCGCCCGGAAGGGUGUCCUGACGGCUCUGAGUCGCUGCUUGGCGUACGCUCCGGAAAUUAAUUUGGAAGAAGUAGCUGCCGGCUUCCCUCAGCUUAAAGAUGACGCCUCGGAGUUCGUGGAAGAAGACUACCAGAAGGUUGUCAAAGAUUCUCGGCUGGCCGCCACUCAACUUGCCGCCAGCCUUGACUUGACAAAAUAUCAGGCGGCUUACAAUGAUAAGAAUAAGAAAAUCAGCCCGCCAACCUUCGUGGUGACCAACCUAAUCCCUCGGCGACCCAAGAAUCCCUUCGACUGGGAAACAGACCUGGCAUCAAUCUUGACCGAUGAAGACGAUUUUGCCUCUUUGUCCAGAUGCAAUUGGGUCUUGGGCGAUUUACAAAUCGAAGCUGGUCAGAGCUCACGCCAGGACUUAGCGGAAUAGAUUUUCCUUGAAUUGGGCCCAAGAGCCAUGUAAUAGUCAAUACUAUCUUUUGAUGACAUCUUCUGCAAAAAAAAAACCCUUAUACCGCUUUCGAGGCGGUUUAAAAUAUUUUGUUAAUCUUUAUCAGAAUCGCCUGUAAUGCUCAACCCGCCAAGGAUGAAACCUUGAACACAUUAUCUGUGAAAACAAAAGAACUACAAAUAGUUUCAACGAAUAUGCAGUGAGGAUAAAAAUCUCCAAGGUCAAAUCAUAACACGAGUAAUUUUGUCGGCUCAUACGGUCGCGACAGAGGGAGGCGAGUCAGAAAGNCGCGACAGGGGGAGGCGAAUCAGAAAGCUCGUGCACCCACCCUUAAUGCAUGUUCUGUCGGCUCAUAAGGUCGCAACAGGAUGCAUGAAAUUGCUCUCUUUUUUUUUUAAAGAAGAAGCCCCCAAGUCAGGGAAACAUUAUAUUAUUCCAUAAUGAAACUGAAAAACUUACAAAGCAUGGAGUUUUAAGAACUCAAGUGUAGUAAGGCCGCAAAUGGGCAAUAUUCCAAGGGCGAGUUGACUCAGCCCCCGUAGUCGGUCGAUCAGGCCGAAGAUCCAUCAAGUAGUAAGAGCCAUUGCGGAGGUUCUUGCUGACAACGAAAGGCCCCUCCCAAGGGGGCGAAAGCUUGUGCAUGCGUGCCCGAUCUUGUAUCACACGAAGCACCAAAUCGCCUUCCUGGAAAGUCCGACUCUUCACCCGGCGACUAUGAUAACGCCGCAGAUCUUGCUGAUAGAUCGCCGAACAAGCCGCUGCUAAGUCACGUGCCUCUUCCAAGGCAUCCAAAGAGUCCUGACGCGCCAACUCGUUGUCUCGCUCCACAUAUGCGGCGACUCUAAGAGAAUCAUGCCUUAUGUCGGUAGGGAGGACGGCUUCUGCUCCAUAGACCAAAAAGAAAGGGGUGAACCCCGUGGACCGAUUCGGGGUGGUCCGGAUGCUCCAUAAUACCGAAGGUAACUCCUCCACCCAACAUCCUGGAGUUCUUUCCAGGGGAAUUAUGAGCCGAGGUUUGAUCCCUCGCAAUACUUCCUGAUUCGCCCGCUCGGCCUGCCCGUUUGACUGCGGGUGAGCAACUGCAGAGAUAUCAAGCCGGAUAUGUUCACGGCGACAGAAAUCCAGCAUCGCUCCUUGGGAAAAGUUAGUACCAUUGUCCAUGAUGAUACUGUGUGGAUAUCCAAAACGGAAAAUCAGCUUCUUCAGAAAUUUGACCGCAGUCUCCGCAUCGCAAGCUCCAACAGGUUCCGCCUCAAUCCAUUUAGUGAAUUUAUCAACCGCCACCAAUAAGUGAGUUUUCUUGUUGGAGGACAUCUUAAAGGGACCGACCAUGUCCAGCCCCCAGACCGCGAAAGGCCAAGUUAUGGGGAUCAUCCUCAAUUCUUGAGCCGGCACAUGAGCCUGUCUCCCAUAUCGUUGGCACCCCUCACACCGCCGUACUAUAUCUUCUGCAUCUGUGUGAGCCGUCAACCAGAAGAAACCGUGUCGAAAGGCUUUUGAUACCAAAGAACGUGACCCGGCGUGAUGUCCGCAGUCUCCAGAAUGGAUGUCAUUUAGGAUUAUGCAUCCUAUCUCGGAAGAAACACACCGCUGAAAGACCCCUGAAGCACUUCGUUUAUAUAGCUCGCCAUUAAUGAUGACCAUGGACUUGCUACGCCGAACAAUCUGGCGGGCCAAAACUUCGUCAGUGGGUAACUCGCCACGAGCAAGAUAAGCUAGAUAAGGAAGAGCCCAAUCCGGAGCGACAUGGAGAGCCGCCACAAGCUGAGACUCGGGAUCUGGUAUCGCCAAUUCCUCCUCCGUGGGUACAGUCACGGACGGUUUAUGCAGGACAUCCAAGAAAACAUUAGGGGGGACCGGUUUUCUCUGUGAGCCGAGUCGCGAGAGGGCAUCAGCUGCUUCGUUGAGUCGCCGAUCAACAUGAUCAACCUGGUACCCAUGAAAAUAGCCCGCCACGUCAGAUACAGCUCGCUUGUAAGCCGCCAUCAUAGGAUCUCGAGAGUCCCAGGUGCCCGAAACCUGUUGUGCCACCAAAUCUGAAUCCCCAAAGCAUCUGACUCGGGUUAGGUUCAUCUCUUUUGCCAGUCGCAAACCGUGAAGCACAGCUUCAUACUCUGCCGCAUUAUUUGUGCAAGGGAACAUGAGCCGGAGGACGUAGCAGAACUUAUCUCCUUGAGAGGAUAUCAACACCACACCCGCCCCCGAGCCCUCCAACUGCCUGGAUCCAUCAAAAUAAAUAGUCCAAUAGGUAAGGUCAGGCCGAUCUUCCGGAGCCUGAAGCUCCGUCCAAUCAUUGACGAAAUCAACUAGUGCCUGGGACUUGAUGGCCGUGCGGGGGGUAUACUGUAUGUGAUGUGACCCAAGUUCUAUUGCCCAUUUGGCGAUUCGCCCUGUUGCCUCGCGGUUUUGGAUGACGUCACCGAGGGGCGCGGAACUGACCACGGUGAUCGGGUGUUCCUGGAAAUAACGUUUAAGCUUUCGACUCGCCAUGAACACCCCAUAGACCAGUUUCUGCCAAUGUGGGUAUCGCUGUUUGGAAAGAGUUAACACCUCACUGAUAAAGUACACCGGGCGUUGUACCGGGUAUUCCUUUCCUUCCUCCUUUCUUUCGACGACCACAGCCACGCUGACCGCUUUGGAAUUCGCGGCGAUAUACAGGAGCAUAGGCUCCUUUUCAGUCGGGGCCGCCAGGACCGGCGGGUUAACCAAUUGAUGUUUCAAGGCCUGAAAUGUCUCGUCAGCCUCCUCUGUCCACACGAAUCGGUCGGACUUUCUUAACAAUUGAUAAAGAGGAAUCGCCUUUUCUCCGAGGCGGCUCACGAAACGACUGAGAGCCGCAAUACGACCCGCCAAUCGCUGAACUUGGUUAACAUUCGUCGGCUUGCCGAGGGAAGUAACCGCUUCAAUUUUGUCCGGGUUAGCCUCGAUGCCGCGCUCCGAUACCAAGAAACCCAGUAGUUUUCCCGCAGGUACGCCGAAAAUGCACUUGGUAGGAUUUAGCUUCAUCUGAUAUACCCGUAAAUUAUCAAAGGGUUUCCUUAAGGUCUUCCAUAAGUGUCUCCUCCCGGCGGGUCUUGAUCACAAUGUCGUCAACAUAGGCAUGAACAUUGCAGCCAAUUUGGCUAUGAAGACAAUUCUGGAUGCAGCGUUGGUAAGUCGCCCCUGCGCUCUUGAGACCGAACGGCAUGGACACAUAGCAAAAGGCCCCGAAGGGGGUUAUGAAGGCAGUCUUCUCCUGAUCUUCCACAACCAUUUUGAUCUGAUGAUAACCUGAAUAAGCGUCCAAAAAGCACAAUCGUUCGCAUCCCGCCACCGAGUCAAUGAUUUGGUCGAUGCGGGGAAGAGCGAAAGGAUCCUUGGGACAAGCUCUGUUGAGGUCCGUAUAGUCAAUACACAUACGGAACGUGCCAUUCUUCUUGAGUACUAACACCGGGUUAGCUAGCCAUUUGGGGUGAAAGACUUCCACAAUGAACCCGGCGGCUAAAAGACGGGCGACUUCCUCUCCAAUCGCCUUCCGUCGCUCCUCGUUAAACCUGCGAAGGUAUUGUUGGACAUGUUUGCAUUUUGGGUCAAUAUUAAGAUGGUGCUCAGUGAAUUCUCUCGGUACACCCGGCAUGUCAGAGGGCUUCCAUGCGAAGAUGUCCCGAUUCUCACGGAUGAAUUCGAUGAGCGCGCUUUUUGUGAUGAACCUGAAUCGGCUCAGCAUUUGUUCUUUGGGUGCUCGGUAGCCAAGGUAGUUUGGAGGACUGUAGGUGUUGUGUUUGGUACCAACUAUAUUCCAAAAUCAAUUUGGCAAGUUUACUCUUGGUUGUAUGCUUUUUUGCCUGUCUUGUGUGAUAUAUAUAUUGUUGGCUUAGCUGCAGUUUGCUGGUCUAUCUGGUUGGCUCGGAAUCGGGCUACCUUUGAAAAGAAGUGGAUCAAUACUCCCUUUGAAAUUAUUUUCACAACCUCUGCGUUUAUUGAAUAUUGGGCAGGUCUGCAAAAACCUGUGGUGGCGGAGAUGGUCAAGAAGGGAGCUAAAUUGCUGAAAGAAAACGCAUCCCACAUGCUGCUGCUAUGUGGACCUCCGAGACCAGAGUCUACCGAACAGGCUGAUGAGGAAGAAGGCUGGGAGGAGUGGUAAGUGUAGUUGAAGAUAGUGAUUUCUUGAUGGUGGCUCUUGCUGGUUACAUGCAGGCAUUCUGAGAGACAGUUUAUUUUGCUCAUGAUGAAGGCUCUUUUAGUCUGGGGUUCCUAUUAUGUUCUGUGCUCUUUUAUGAGCCUCGUCUGUAUGUGGUUGUAUGGAACUUUGUUAGCGGUACUGUCAUGUGGUAGUUUAGCUUUUGGUCUGUGCGCAGUGACGGAUGAUAUCAGGUUUUUGCCUCACAGUUUAUGUUCGUGAUGACAUGCAUAAACGGUGGGUUUUCUGGUAUUGUUACGAGCUCAUUUUUUUCCCUUUCUCUUUUUUUUUUGGUUCUGGUUUCAAAAACGUCGUAUUUCCGUUAUGAAAGUAAUGAAAAGGGGAGAAGCCUCGGAAAAAGCUUCUAGUACUAGUCACCACUCACCACCGUCGGGAGCGCGAGCGAGCGUGCGAGGGAAGGCGGGUCACACUCACACGUACUUGCGCGCGGGGGGCAGAAAAUAGAUCCGGGAAAACGACCACGCACCGUACGGAGAUCACCGCCGCGCACACGAUGGAUCGACCGAUUGAUUGGGCCGCAAGGGAGUCUGGUGUGGCAGGGGAGGCAGACCGCUCACUCCGGUGACCACCGAGCAGGAAGGAAGAACAGUGUGCGUGCGCGAGGCUUUACCCAAGUGUAAAGCAAGCCAGACGAACGAAGCCUCUCUGGUCACUUUACCGCCAGUCCGUCCGACUCGAUGCAUACAUUACACGCGCACCACCACCACCACCACGCCACCAGCUCCUGGCCACCAGCCAUUGCUGGGGGCGUAUAAAGGUCGGGGGGCAGAGGACGGCCCACGGCGCUCAGCAUGGGGUGGCUCCGGUCCCUCGUCUCCCCGCUCAGGAAGCUCUGGUGCAACAUGAACACCGUGCCGCGGAAGAGUACGUCCGUCCUCCUGCUUGUUGCUUCAGAUACAGUCUCUGUUCUUCUUUCCUGCUUCUGAUCGUGUUCUUGUUUGCUGUUUACAGAGAGGGGGAUCUACAUCCUGUACGACGACGUCAAGUCGUGCCAGUGCGAGGACGUGCACGUGCUGUGGUCGAUCCUCGUCGAGUCCCACGGCCUGCCGCCGCCCACGCCCACGCCCGUGCUCAGGCUGAAGCGGUGAUCGGAGCAUCGGCGCGGCGCCCCCUGAAUAAGGAACGGCCGGCACGGCGGUGUCGCCGUGUCUGGCUCCAUGGGAGGUGAACCAGUAACAGCAUGGGAGUAGCAUAUGGUAGUAUGAUUCUGAUGUAAAGCACAGUACAGGGGUUGUUUACAGUUCAUCCGGCCUUCGUCCAGCGCCUCUUUUGGAGCUGCUGCUGGGACGAGAGAGCGAGGCCACUGCGUUUGCGGCUUGACGAGUGUGGUGAUGGGCUUUCUUCGAGCGCACCCCUCUUUUGAGUUUUGGUUGAUUGACGCGUCGUUUUCUGUCUAAGACUGCACCUGGAUGCGGCUCUUUUAAAACCCCCAUUGCUCGAGUCGAAAAAGAAAGGAAAUAAUAUUCAGCAUUUAUUUUGAACUCUCAUUGCCAUUUCUGUGCUGUUUCCGUUGAUGUUUGCUUUGCGGAAUUUUUGUCAAAAAGACCACUAGCCGAAUGUUAUUGUCAAAAAAAACCAUAUACGGUAUGAAAUGCGAGAAAAGACCCUCGUUUUUCGUGACGGCAGGCGCGCCAGGUGACGCGUGGCACCUGCCGUCACGGGCCGAGGCGGCUGGGCCCCGCCGCCACCCGGCGAGGCGGCCAGCCGGGCAGGUGGCACCUGCCGCCAGCACCCGAGGCGGCUGGCGGGAUGCUGUGCAUGGCAGCAUGCAUGGCCGUGCAUGGCCGUGGCAUGGUCAGCCAGCUUUUGAGGCAUUUAUGUGCGAGCAUGGGUAGCCUGCCGCCUGGAGUGGUGGCGGCAGGUGCCACCUGCCCGGCCGGCCGCCUCGCCGGGUGGCGGCGGGGCACAGCCACCUCGGCUCGUGGCGGCAGGUGCCACACGUCACCUGACACGCCUGCCGCCACAAAAAAUGAGGACAUUUUCUCGCAUUUCAUACCGCAUGCGGUCUUUUUUGACAAUAACAUUCGGUUAGUGGUCUUUUUGGACAAAAAUUCUGCUUUGCGCACAUGCAAGUGGGUGCUUCUGCUCUCCCUUCGCCGGAGCCGGCGGAGGGUACACUGUUCAAAAUUUCAAAUAACUGAUCGUAGCACCAAAUGCCUGCGAUGCAUCAUUUGAUGCUCCGUCCUUUUCCUCUUCCAUUAACUGGGGUUAUGAUCUUUUUUUUUCUCAGAGAGAGAAAUCUGUUUUCUUUCUGGUUGAGGUCUUACGGGUGACUUGUGAGGCCUCCUAACCAGCACAUUUUCUUUUUAGAAUUCUCGUCCAAUUUUAUUAAUGCAUAAUAAUUAUAGGUACAAGUUUAUUUUUUACGAGAAUUAUAGUUACUAGCAAAAGGGCCUGUAGGUUGCAACGGAAGAAAAACAAUUAUAAUCUCCAACGGUGCUGAUCAUAUUAUGUCUCUAAAAUUUUAGAACAUUUCUUGAAAUGCAUAACAUUUUUUGAAUUAGCAAACAUUUUUUUCAAUUGCACUCAAAAAAUAAUACACAAACUUUUUCUUUCAAAAUCAUGGACUUUUAUUGUUUUCACCAACAUUGUUCUCAAAAUUAUGAACACUUUUCUGAAUAUGCGAAUAUUUUUACAAAAAUCCCAAGCAUUUUUUGAAUUCACAUUUUUUUGUUUUCUUCAAACUUUUAUUUCGAAAUUCUCAGUUUUAUAAAUUGCAAAAGUUUUUCAAAGUUUUAAAUUAUUUAAAUUAAAAAAUGGAACAGAAAAAUGAAAAUAAAAAACGAGACUAAAAACAGAGGCACGAACUGUUUUUAAGAUUUUUACACGGACUUUUGUUUAAAAUCAUUGACUUUUUUUUAUUUUAUGGACAUUUUCUCAAAAUUUAAUCAUUUUUUAUAUGCAAACAUUUUUCAAAUCUCAUGAGUAGUUUUUGAAUUCUCAAAAAAAAGUUUUUUUGAAUAUUUUAUUUCGAAAUUCUCAGUUUCUUAAAAUUGAGAAAAGUUAUUUGAAGUUCUAAAUUAUUUAAAGUAGAAAAACAAAAUGGAACUGAAAACAAAAAUGAAAAACUAAAGUAAAAAACACAGGCGCCCACGCAUGGGCCGGCCCAGAUAGGUGUGCUGCAUCAUUUUCCCACGUCUAGAGUGUAAUAUAGGAGGUGCCUACAUGGGCCGGCCCAGUCCGGAGAUUUUCCUGUUUGAAACGUUUUCUAUGACUUAUCAGUGGCACUGGUGGGUAAUUUUAGCCAACUUUAGGGGCAACUUGAAUGACGUACGACGUAUUGGGUGUAUCCGUUUUUAUCGAAGCUUUGAUUUUCGUGCUUAUCUUAGUUGUCGGUUUAGUUUAUGCAUGGCGAAAAGGAGCCUUGGAAUGGUCUUAACUCAAUAUUUAGACAAAAAAGGAGGAAAAGAUUCUAUUGAGAUAAUUAUGAAUUUGAUUGAGUUGAAUGAUGUACGGCAGAAGCAGUAUUUGCUUUAUUAGUAGGUAAGACAUAUUCAUCAGACGAACCUUCUCACGCCAAUUCCAUUCGUCGACAAGCCUUAUCCUUUUUCUUUGACCAGCAAACUAGAGGGUAUUUUAUUCCUUAUCAAAUAAUGUUACAUCGUUGAUAAGCGUCCGCAUAAGAAAAGUAGGGGGAAAACUUUUUAGGUAAUAAGAAAAGUAGGGGUUCAUCGAUCCAGGUACAAAAAUCAGAAUAAAACAAAAAUGAUCUAGCUAUCUCAUGUGCUGCCACAUUUGCUUCCUUAGGGCAUAACUCAUAGGAAACAUCAUCAAAGGCACUUGCAUGCAACAUCCAGUCAUGGAAAAUUGUUGAACUUGCAGUCGUAGAAAACCCUCCAAAGAUAAGAGUUGAUAUUACCUCUCAUUGUGAGACUGAAGAAUAACCCUGUAAUGCCCCAUUUGCUGAGCAAACCAUACGCCAUCUCGAGCGGCAGCAACUUCAGCCAUAAGUACAUCUAUUGCUCCUUCAAUUAUGAAGCAUAGAGCGGCCACAAAUCCUCCAUUAGAAUCUCUAAUCACCACCCCUGAAGCGGCCACUUGGGUUUCAGGAUUAAAAUAAUCAUCCAUGUUUACCAUGUAAACUCCUUCACGGGGUUUGUGCCAUCCUACUCGAGGCUUUUGAGGUUUUUUCUUCAUGCUUCUGAUAUAAUUAAGCGUUAAAGCACUGAUUGACAUCACAUAUCGUUUGAUCGGCUGGCUGUCCUCUCCAUGUGUUCUUGCCUUCUCUCCCACCAAAUAUACCAAGCGGUAUUUAGAACUAGCACUCGUAUGCGAACUUAUGGGCAUAAGGGCGCUGGAUGGUCAUUUUUUAAAAGCUCCUCGAACACAAUAGCGCCAGAUCCGUAGGCACACAAAGCCACGUCUACCUUUUGUUUUACUCCUAAUUCCUUCCAAAUUUGCCUUGCUCUAGUAUAAGUAAGAAAGCAUAUGCUUCAAAUAUUCAUAUCCCAAUGGACACAAAGUGCAUUGACACGAAUCAAUGACGUGUCUACGUGCUAAUAUACCCAUACACAUGAUCGAUUCUUUCAGUGCUCUCCAGCGAAAAACUUUCACUUUUGGUGCCACAGUAGAUGUCCAUAAAUUUCUCCAAAACUCCCUAUCUCCUGCGUGCACUAUGUCCUGGUCAUUGGCAUAACUUCUUCUAAACUUAUGAUUCCACUCGCCAUAGUAGGCCGAUUUUACAGAAAACAUGCUUGUUUUUGAAUUAUGCCACGCAACAAAAUCCUAACGAUCAUCCACUAGUGGAUUUGACAAUAUGGAUUUAGCAUCAACCGGCCAAAACAUAUCCCUCACGAGCUCCUCAUCCCACCGACGAGAGACUGGAUUGAUUAGAUCACAAACUUUUUCCACUAAGUUCCCACCUUUAGGUGUUAAAACUUGUUGGUGUCUUGUGCUUCUUCUUGUGUGUUCUGGACCUUGCCAUGACUCUUUUUGUCGCCUUUUCUGCGUGUUUGUGUUGUGUGUCACAGGUGGUGGUUCCCGUCGUUCUAGCCCAGUCCGUGACACCCAGUCGAAGAGGUUCCGCAAUCGUGACAACCUAGAACGUUCAGGAAGUUCCAAUCCCAAUCCUCCAAAGCGCCAUUUCAAGAAGACAGCAUCGAAGGAAAAGGAGGCCAACCUUGACUACGACACUAUGCCUCCUAAAUAGUUUAUGCGGCACCGUGGGAGCAAUCCUUAUGUCAAUGAGAGAGUUCAGCUCAAAGGCUGUGAUUUGUUCUCGACAAAUCAGCAAGCCCUGAUAUAUCAAGAUGUGAGCGUGUCCUUCAAGAAGAUCUAUGUACUUGUGAAGUGGAUUGAUCUCCAUCAUCUCCAGACGUAUCCUGAUUAUUUUGGAGAGGCCCUCUCUUUGAUUGAGCAACUUGGUAUUGAGGACGUCAUCACCUUCCAUCGUGACUUUGAUCCGGAGAUUGUGGCUUAAUUCUAUGUCACUGUCCACUUUCAUAGUGAUGAGGAUCGUACUAUGACUUGGAUGACGAAUGGCAAGAAAAUGUCUGGAACUUGGGUAGAGUUCAUGAAGCUUAUGAAUGUGCCUGACAAGGGGCUGCAAACUGCUGUUGGCUUGCGCCCUCAUGCCCAACCCGGUGUCCCCUCCCCAAGAACAAGCUGCAUCAUCUCUAUGUGAGGAAGAAUGUGCUUCUCCCGCUCUUGGAUACCAUGCACCGGAUCUUCAGAAACACGUUGUUUCCUCAUGUUGGCAACAAAUACGAGGUUCAUUCCUAUCUGAUGGACAUGCUUCUGAUGUGUGUGGAGGGAAGGACAAAGAACAUUGGGCCACUCGACGUAUCUGAUGUGAUGUUCUCUGAGCUUAAGAGUUCGAUCUCUCACCGUAAGGUCCCCAUCUAUGGGCCUUACUUGUUCUUUUUCAUCAAGAAAAAGUGGGCAGAGUCCUUUUCGCAAGUGCCCUUUCCUGCUGGCUCUGGGUGUGUCAGCCAUGAUCCUAUCAAGUUGCGCCAUAAGGAGAAGUGGGCCAACACCUCAUCUUCAAGUUCUACUCAACGCAUGGAGACUGACAGGGAGACUGCUGCUGCUGAGGGAGGCCCUGCCUCGCAUACCCGCUCCUCUGCUGUGCCAUCUUGGACUGUGAAGCUGAAGGACCAGAUGAAGACCCUCUUCUGCAUGCAGGCCAAGGGACAGUAUCAGACUCAUGUGGCCCAAAAGGAGAACCGUCAGAGGCACAAGCGUGUCUUGAGGACGCUUGAUGUGCAUAUUUUGAGCGGCUCUGAGGACAUCAUCUCUCCAGAGGCUGACUGGAUGCAAGCACGAGACUACCAGUGGGCUGAGUCCGACGCUGAGGAGGAGGCAUAUGACGAGGACGUUGAGGAGGAGCCGACUAAGGAGGAGGAGGAUGAGGAGGAUGCGGAUGCCUGAGCUACCACCUGUGUCCUAGGUAUCCUCUCUGCCCUUUUUGGUGUUUUGAUGCCAAAGGGGGAGAGAGUGUAGGGAUUUGGAUUUGCUUUGCUUUAUCAUUUUCUGAGUCUUUCUGUGUUGAACUUGGAUGGUCUUAUCGUGUUCGAUUACCUUUCAUGGUUGUGAGACUUUGUUUUAGUCAUAUGCCAUCCCUACAUUACCUUUAUUAAUUAUCUUCAUGCUCACAUGCUUUACCUUGCUUCCUCACUUAAUGUUGUAUCAGGUCGUUGCAAGGAAUACCAGCCUAUGAUUUCUAGGGGGAGUCUUCUCCUUGGACUGAGUGCACUGCUGUUCAUAACACUAACCUAAAUCAUGCACUCAUCCAGGGGGAGCCAGUCCCUAGACCAUAGACUUUGGGUUUGCAGUUGUAUUCAAUAUACUUUCCUUUUGUGCAAAUCCGGCAUUGUCAUCAAUUCACCAAAAAGGGGGAGAUUGUUAGGGCAUAUUUAUCCCUAAGUGAUUUUGGUGAUUAAUGACAGUACCUCAACGGACUAAUCGUGUGCAUUGAGCAUUUCAGAUAAUACAUUGAAAGGACGUGGAUGUCGCCUAGAGGGGGGGUGAAUAGACGCUUUAAAAUAAUUACAGUUUAGGCUUGAAAAAUGCGGAAUAAAACUAACGUUUAAUUUGUCAAGCACGAAACCUAAAAUAACUAGGCUCACCUAUGUGCACCAACAACUUAUGCUAAGCAAGAUAAACAACUAAGUGAUAGCAAGAUAUAUGAAAGAAAAAAUAUGGCUAUCACAAAUAAAGUGCCUAAGUAAAGGGUUCGGGUAAGAGCUAACCGAGGCACGCGGAGACGAUGAUGUAUCCCGAAGUUCACACCCUUGCGGAUGCUAAUCUCCGUUUGGAGCGGUGUGGAGGCACAAUGCUCCCCAAGAUGCCACUAAGGACACCGAAUCUCCUCACGCCCUCGCACAAUGCAAGAUGUCGUGAUUCCACUAAGGGACCCUUGAGGGCGGUCACCGAACCCGUACAAAUGGAAAACCUUGGGGGCGGUCCCGGUACCCGUACAAAUUUCUCAGGGCAAUCUCCACAACCUAAUUGGAGAUCCCGACGCUUGCCCGGAGCUUUACAUCACAAUGAUUGAGCUCCGAGACACAACCAAGCUUCUAGGACGCCAAAGCAUCCACGAAGAACAAUAUCUAGGGUACUAAGUACCAAAUGUAAUAACCUUCUCAAACUUCACUUCCACGUAUCACCGUGGAGAACUCAAACCGAUGCAACUAAAGCAAUGGCAAGAACACACGAAGUGGACCAGUCCCUCACACUCAAAUCCCUCCACAACAACAAAAGCUAUGGAGAAAUAUAAGAGGAAGAACAAGGAGCUCACAAAGAACUUCAAGAUCUAGAUCCAAGGGGUUCCCCUCACAUAGAGGAGAAAGUGAUUGGUGGAGAUGUGGAUCUAGAUCUCCUCUCUCUUUUCCCUCAAGAACAAGUAAGAAUCAUUGGAGGGAUUGAAAGUAAGCAAGCUCUAAGAAGGUCAUCAAUGGGGGUAGAACAUGAGCUCAAUGGGUAAGAAAAUCCCAAGGGGGGAGAAGGACCCCUUUAUAUAGUGGGGGAAAGAAUCAGACCGUUACCCCCACUUACAGCCCGAGCACAGCGGUACUACCACUGCCCCCAGUGGUACUACCGCUGAGGGAGGAGCGGCACUACCGCUGCCCCUGGCGGUACUACUGCUAGCCCCUCGCGUACUACCGCUAGGACUCGAGUGGUACUAUCGCUAGAGAAAGUCUUCGCAAAAAGUCCGACGGAGAACAACCGCUCAAAGAGAGGUACUACCGUCCCGAAGAGGUACUACCGCCCACCCAGAGCGGUACUACCGCUAGGCCCCUGGUGGUACUACCGCUAGGACUGGAGCGGUACUACUGCUCGUCACCGAAACAACCAUAACUUUUGCAUACGAGCACCGAAUCGAUCAAACCCAAGCUUGUUGGAUUCAAGACGACAAGAGCUAUCCAAACAGCGAAUGGAAAUCUUAAGAACAUGCAGUUAUGAAAAUGCCAAUGAUAUAGAGAUGUGAGACCUCUAUGAAUGAAGAACCGGCAAAAACUCCAACAUCGAAAACAUCGUAGAAGAUGCAUAUGGACUCCGUUUUCGAUGAACUCGAGCUUGUCAUGAAGAUGACCAUAAGCUCUAAAACUCACAAAGAGAAACACCAAACGAGAACCAAGAAGUAUGAUGCAAGGAUGCAAAUGGUUUGAGCUCUCAGCAAACGAUACGAUCAAGCUAGUCACUUGAGAGCCCCCCUGAGAGUACGACAAUCUAUCCUAAAACAGAAAACCUAUCAAGGGCAAACCUAUACCUUGCACCUCGUCCUCUUGAGCUAGAUGAUGAUGAUCUUGGCUUCCUCAAGAUGGACCACCUUUCUUGAUUGCGUUGGCUUGAUGAAGACUAGUUGAUUUCUCCCCAUACUCACUAUGGGUGAGCCACUCUUCAGCAUAUCUUCACAAGUCCAUUGCCACCACAAUGGACGGCAAGCUUCAAGCAUGAUAUAUUUGUGCUGAUCCACUUGAAUUUGCACACCGCAAUUGUGAUGACGAUCACCACUUGACGCCAUCCUUCAUGGGUUGUAUGAGAUCUUCCUUUUGACGCAAGCCCAUGGAAACACACCAUACGAUGGGAUCGCUUGAUCCCUCUCGGUACAUCUUGUUCGCUUUGUGUGUUAAUCAUCUUGAUUUACUCUUUGUCUAGCGAUCUUGAUCAACCUUGUGUCUUUGUGACCAUUCUUUGGAUAAUACCUUGAAUACCACCUUGGUCAUCAUAUAAACUCCUUGAACCCAACAGAUGGACUUCAAGAAGUACCUAUGGACAAAUCCUAUAAAUAUAUUUAAGGCAACCAUUAGUCCACAGGGAUUGUCAUCAAUUACCAAANNNNNNNNNNNNNNNNNNNNNNNNNNNNNNNNNNNNNNNNNNNNNNNNNNNNNNNNNNNNNNNNNNNNNNNNNNNNNNNNNNNNNNNNNNNNNNNNNNNNNNNNNNNNNNNNNNNNNNNNNNNNNNNNNNNNNNNNNNNNNNNNNNNNNNNNNNNNNNNNNNNNNNNNNNNNNNNNNNNNNNNNNNNNNNNNNNNNNNNNNNNNNNNNNNNNNNNNNNNNNNNNNNNNNNNNNNNNNNNNNNNNNNNNNNNNNNNNNNNNNNNNNNNNUUUGGUAAUUGAUGACAACCACUUCAAGAGAGUUUAUAUAAGGAAAUAAGCAUAACCAAACACACACAUACAAAGCAAUAAUGCAUGCGUACAAGAUGUAAAUGCUUAUGCAAUAAAAGCAAAGCCCUCUAAGCAUAACCAAACUAAACUCUCUAAACUUCUCCCCCAUUGGCAUCGAUUGGCAAAAUGGACAAAAAGUUCAGAAAGCCAAUAUAGUAGGUGGUCCUUCAAAAAGUGUGUACUUCUCAGCAAAAGAGUGCAAAGAAAUACACAUAUACAAUGAUUAGAAGUUGGAGGAAAACAAACUAUAUUGAGGACCCAAAGAUUGCAAAAAGAAGGAUCGUAUGCCACAAGGACAUACAAAAAUAGAAGCAAGCAAUCAAAAGAUACCAGAUGGAACAAACAAUCACAUGGUCCUUCGAACCACAUGAAUAAAAGAUAUUAUGAUGAAUCGAGUGUUUUAUCAAAACUAGAGAAGCUCCCCAUGAUGUGUGCACUAAUAAGAAUUUUUAUUAUUCGAUACAAGUACAGAAAAUAGGAUCAUUACUCCCCCAAAAUUAAUAAAAACACAUAACGAGUGCACGAAGAUAGAUGAGACAAUAAGCAUAUCACUUGCACAAAACAUAUGGUUGAGCAUCAUGUAAAAGAGGCGACUCAAGGAUAGGCUCAACCAAAUUGAUGUGUGUGAGUCAUGGCAAAGCACUUGAGAAGACUAAGAAGAGCAUUGCUCAUCAACAUAGUCUUGAUGAAAUGAGAAACACAAUGCAAUACAUAUCAUUCCCACACACACACAUACUAGAAAAUGGGUUCAUAAGCUUACUGAUAAACAAAAUAAGAACCAAAGUUUGUGACAACCCAUGGUCAAGAUAGGAAAUAAUAACCUUGUCAAGAGGAGGGAUACCAAUCGAAAUGGCAAAACCCUCAUCAAGACAAGCAUGAGGAAAAAUAAUCUUCACCGCCAAAGAGUGCAUCAAGAUGUAGGAAUAUAAGAUACGCACUCAAGGCAAAUCCUUUCACAAGGCUACCAAAAACUGAAAAAGGAAAUGCACCGGUGGGCGUGAAAAUAAAGGAGGAUAUCAAUCAGAGAUGUAACAUCUCUCAUGUGUAAAAUAUUCUAGGUAGAACACGAUCAUGAUGAUAUAUAUCCACUAAUAAGGAUGUACACACGAAAUGGUUACAAGAAGGAACAAACAAGAUAUCCAAAAGGAAGUCAUAAAUAUAUCAAUAAGAUCUUUGCUUGGAAGCAGAACACAUGGCCUAAUAUUUUCUUAUUGUACAAUAUGAACUUCCAACAUACGAACAUCAAAGACAUCCCAACUAGCAAUAAGACAUCAUUGUUUGGAUGCUUUGAGAAAGGAAACAAGUACCACAAGAACGAAUCAAGAGAUUCAUGCCAUGAUGCAACCUGGAGAGAGAGACAGAACCACGAGAGGAGGGUAUAACCCCUCGUGGUCCUGACGGCGCAGUAGUACCUUGGAUAUCUGAUGUCAGCUGUGCUUCCCCUUGCAACGGCACCAGAAGAAUGCUGCUAGCACUCUCCGACAAUCGAAGCUAGAAGAAUGUUGUUGACGGCCCACCAGCGCGUGGGGUCGUAGCAGUUUUUGAGGGUAGAGUAUUCAACCCAAAUUUGUUGGUUCGCACGACGGGAGGUGAGAGAAUACUCUCAAGUAUUAGCAGCUGAAUAUGUCAGAUUCAACCACACCUGAAAGAUUAGUAUCUGCAAGCAAAGUAGUAGUAGCAAAGUAGCGAGUAACGACAGUGGCUAGGAACAUCAGUAGUGACAGCAGUAGCAAGUAGCAACAGUAGUAAGCGACAGUAGUAGCAACAGUAGCAACAGAGCAAGACAAGUAACAGCAGAAGCAACAGUAGUAACAGCAGCAGAGCAAGACAAGUAACAACAGCAGUAGGACAAACUCGUAGGCAAUGGGCCGGUGAUUUGUUUGGAUGAUAUUCAUCAUGCAACCGUUAUAACACGGAGAGAUAUGUGGCUAGCUCCCGUUCGUCAAUGUGAUGUAGGCAUGCAUUCCGUGUGUCGUCAUACGUGCUUAGGGAAAAGAACUUGCAUGAUAUCUAUUGUCCAUCCCUCCCGUGGCAGCGGGGUCCAAAAGGAAACUACGUGAUAUUAAGGUUCUCCUUUUAAUAAAGAACUGGACCAACGCAUUAGCACUUGGUGAACACAUGAACUCCUCAAACUAUGCUCAUCAUCGGGAGUGGUUUCGGUUAUUGUCACUCCGGGGUUGCCGGAUCAUAACACAUAGUAGGUAACUACAACUUGCAAGAUCGGAUCUAAAACACACAUAUAUUGGUGGCAAAAGUUGAAUUUCAGAUCUGAAAUCAUGGCACUCGGGCCCUAGUGACAAGCAUUAAGCAUGGCAAAGUAGUAGCAACAUCAAUCUCAGAACAUAGUGGAUACUAGGGAUCAAUCCCCAUCAAAACUAACUCGAUUACAUGAUAGAUCUCAUCCUACUCAUCACCGCCCAGCGAGCCUACGAAUAGAUUACUCACGAACGACGAAGAGCUUCAUGGAAUUGGAGAGGGAAGAAGGUUGAUGAUGACGAUGGCGACGAUUUCCCCUCUCGGGAGCCCAAGACGGACUCCAGAUCUGCCCUCCAGAUGAAGAACAGGUUGUGGCGGCGCCUCCGUAUCGCAAAUGCGACGAAAACUUCUGUUUUUAUUUUUUUGGGACGAAAGGGAACUUAUAGACCUGAGAUUGGGGGCGGCAGAGCCGUGUGGGCCCCACAAGCCUGCCCACCGCCACCACGGGGGUGGCGGAGCCAGGGCUUGUGGAGCACUGGCCCACCCCCUCAGGUGGAACUUGGCACAGAUAUUUUUCAUAUUUUCCAAAAAUGCCCCCCGUAAAUUUUCAGGACUUUUGGAGAACUUUGAUUUCUGCACAAAAAUAACACCAAGGCAAUUUUGCUGAAAACAUCGUCAGUCCAGGUUAGUUCCAUUCAAAUCAUGCAAAUUAGAGUCCAAAACAAGGGCAAAAGAGUUUGGAAAAGUAGAUACGAUGGAGACGUAUCAACUCCCCCAAGCUUAAAACCUUGCUUGUCCUCAAGCAACUCAGUUGACAAACUGAGAGAGAAAGAAAAACUUUGACAAACUCUGUUUGAUCUUGUUGUUGCAACUAUUCUAACUCAUAACCAGAAUUUCAGCAAGAUCACAAGUCAACCACAUAAGCAAAUGACACAAAGGUCUCACGGUAAACUAAUAUCAAUGGCAUAAUUAGCUAACGAGCAAAUAAUAAUGAGUUUCAAAUACCAACACUUCAAUCAAAAUAAGCAUGAAGCAAUAUGAAUAGGUGGUAUCUCGCUAGCUCUUUCUGAGACCGCAAAACAUAAAUGAAGAGCACUUUCAAAGAUCAAGGGCUGACUAAACAUUGUAAUUCAUAGCAACGAAGAUCCAGUCAUAGUCAUACUCAAUAUCAAUCAAAAGCAAAGCAUAAAAAUGACAGAGGUGCUCUCUAAUUGGUGCUUUUAUAAGAAGAGGAUGACUCAAGAGGAAAAUAAACAGACAGACCCUUCGUAGAGGGAAGCAUUGAUUUGCAGAGGUGCCAGAGCUCAAGCUUUGAAAACAGAGAUACUAAUUUUGGGUGGCAUGCUUUCAUUGUCAACGCAAUGACCAAGAGUUCUCAAUAUCUUCCAUGCUACUCAUGCUAUAGGCGGUUCCCAAACAGAAAAGUAAAGUUUUAACUCCCCCACCACCAAUCAAUCACACUCCACGGCUAGCCGAAUCCUCGGGUACCGUGCAUACUAACAUCAAUCCGGGGGGAGUCUUGUUUUACAGUUAUGUUUCCAAUUACCGGCCCCUUUCUCGUGAAUGACAGUGAAUAAACACAUGUCAAGGAUAACACUCCCAGCAUGGAAGAUACCAAUAGCCCCCUAUCACCACAUGAACGGUUCGGGCAUGCAAAACAAAUUAUUUCUUGAAGGUUUAGAGAAUGGCACAUGCAAAUUUACUUGGAACGGCAGGUAGAUACCGUAAAUAGGUAGGUAUGGUGGACUCUCAUGGAAAAACUUUUGGGUUUAUGGAAGUGGAUGCACAAGCAGUAUUCCGCUUAGUACAAGUGAAGGCUAGCAAAAGACUCGGAAGCGACCAACUAGAGAGCGACAACAGUCAUCAAGAUGCAAUGAGUUUGACUAACAUUAAAUGCAAGCAAGAACAGGAUAUAAAUCACCAUGAACACGAACAUCAUAGAGGCUAUGUUGAUUUUGUUUCAACUACAUGCAUGAACAUGCGCCAAGUCAAGCCACUUGAAACAUUCAAAGGAGAAUACCAUCCUAUCAUACUACAUCAUAGUCAUCUCAAAAUCUAUGUUGGCAAUCAAGACAAACCAUUAUAAGCUCUCAGCUAAAUAAGCAUGGCAUCAGAAACUAUGAUCUCUAAGUUGUCAUUGCAAACAUGGUUCUCUCACAACAAAGCUAAAUCUGGGUCGACAAGCUAGUCAUAUUUACAAAAACAAAAUAGAUAGAGUUCAUACCAUCUUUUCAGUCUCAGUCACUAUAUCAUAUAUCAUCAUGAGUGCCUUUCACUUGCACGAUCGAACGAUGUGAAAAAUAAUAAGAGCGCUCGUGCAUUGGACUAAGCUGAAUCUGCAGGCAAACACAAAGGAGAAGACAAAGUAAUAUGGCUCUUUGAAAGCUAAACAGGUAAGCAUGCAAGAACCAAUAAACAUUGUAACCAAUAUCUUCUACCUUGACCCAAAGAAAAAGAAAACUAUUUACACGGGAAAGCUCCCAACAAGCAAAAGAAUAAAGAAAAAUCUUUUUGGGUUUUCUCAAAAGGACACAAAACAAGAAAACAAGAAAACGAAAAUAAACUAGCGUGGAUAAUAUAGUGGCAAAGUGUAAACACCGGCUAACAAAGCGAAAGCAUAAGCAUGAAUGUAAAGUCGGUGAGAACACGUACUCCCCCAAGCUUAGGCUUUUGGCCUAGUUUGGUCUACUCCCAAGGUGGGAAAUAACCAGCUCGUGGAUACUCUGGAGCAGACUGUGGAUGCCAUUGCCGUGUGAGCUCCUCUGGCUCCCACUGAUAAACUGGUGUCUGGUACUCGACUGGCGGCUCGGGCACGGGCGCAUGUGGUUGGGCCAAGCCCCAACAUGCGUAGAUGUCCGAGGGCAUAAUAGUGUACCUGCCUGCAUGAAGAUCGAACAAAGAAGGAGCACGCAAAGUAAUAGUCUCUCGAGUACCCUGACUAAAUACCAGGUUAUAAAUCAUCCGUCUACUAGCAUCUCUAUCCAGAAAAUCAUGGCGAACCAUGCUAUCAUAAUCCAGAUAUUUCUCAGGGAGAAGCAUCUCUCCUUCCUCUCCCAGUCUAAUGGGUAUCUCGAAGUGUCUGGCAAGACGGGAAGCGUAGAUACCUCCAUAGACGACACCCUUGGAACGGUUGAUGUUUAACCGCUGGGCCACCAUAGCACCUAGGCAAGUCUUAUCGCUAUAAAGACUUCGCGCAAAACCGUAAGGUCUGGAGAACUAAGUGAUCCAGCCUCCCCACGGCCAAUCAAACAUUUUCCCACAAAUAAUGAGAAGUACCGAAGCACAGGAAAAUGUAUGCUAGCAAUUCUAGCGCGAGACACUCCUCUCUCCUCUCCAACAACAAUAGAACCAAUGAAAUCCUCCAAGUUCCGUGGACGAGGGUCAAGGAUAACCCCAACAUAAGGUAAUUUGCAUACAUUGCAAAAAUCCUGUAGUGUCAUGCACUAGGGGACAUCGUAUAUCAUGAACUCAACCAUGGGAGGAUUCUUCCUCGGAUAAAAGUUGAAGCUUUGAACGAAAAUAUUGGUGAGGAGGAGGUAUUGUGAGCACUUAUCUUCAACGAACGCAGUAAGACCUGCGUUCUCCACCAAGUAAUAAAAGUCUUCACAAAGUCUGGCGGCGUGCAAAAGUUCAUCACUUGGCCACUCGCACGCUCGAACUUCUGUGACUCGAGGAACUACGUACUUGGGGUGAUUCUUCUCAUCCUCCUUGUGGUUACGGCUUGAAGAGCCUCCCAAGAACCUCUUCAUCUUUCCCUUUUUCUAGCUCUGAAAAAUUCUGAAAUUUUUAGAGACUUCGAAAGAAAAGUGAACAAAGAUUAACCCAACUUGUAGAAACUACUCCUACUAGUGCCUAGAGACCGUAUCACACGCUAAAACUACUUGGGACCAGCUAAAAUCAACAUUUCUAGCUCAAGAACAGGGUCACCAAGGUAGCAAGAAUACGCGAAGGAUAAAGCACUAGAGCAAAAACUAAUUGGACCAAUGGAGGAGUCACUUACCAAGGAGUAAUUUCCCCAAAACGGUUCGAAGAAUGGUGCUUUGAGCAAGGAGAUCAAAAAUCACAGCCAAAUGAGCAAGAACACGGGUUUGAGGUGCGAAACAAUUUUUUCUGGAGGUGGAAGAAGAGGCUGGGAGCUGGAAUGAGUGGAGGGGGUCCUUGUGGGCCCCACAAGCUUGCACUCCGCCACCAGGGGGGUGGAGGUGGCAUUGCUUGUGGCCCACUGGUCUGGCCCCCAGGCCAGCUCUCAGGCCCAGUAAUUUUCAAAAAUUCUAGAAAAAAUCAUACUAAAUUUCCAGGACCAUCGGAGAACUUUUAUUUUCGAGGUAUUUUUCUCCGGGACGCUAAAAUAGAAAACAGGAAAAGCUAAACUAAUUCUACCAUUUUUCUUCUAAGCAAAAGAAAAUGAAAGCUUAAAACACAGGUAUGUGACUCUUUGAUUCAUCUGUUUCAUGGUCAUCGAAAGAAAUCCGUCAAUGGGGUUGAUCAAGUCCUCAUGAUAAAACCUUCUCGUUUCGCAAGAUAGAACGUAGUAUUUUUGAAUAGCCACUAAGUCACCUCAAUGGGGAUAUGUAUCUCCCCAACAAGCAAAUCAUACUUCAUCUUAACACGAGGAAUAGGGCAUUCAAAGCUCCCAAUGAGAAUCGUUGAUGUCUUUUCGAUAACAUUGAUGCAAUGUACUUGAUAUCGUUUCUUCGGAAAGUGUAGUGUGUGCUCAUUACCGUUGACAUGGAAAGUGACAUUGCCUUUGUUGCAAUCUAUAACAGCCCCUGUCGUGUUUAAAAAGGGUCUUCCGAGGAUGACGGCCAUGGCAUCGUCCUCAGGAAUAUCCAAGAUAACAAAGUCUGGUAAGAUAGUGGUGUUAGCAACCACAACAAGCACGUCCUCGCAAAUGCCGAUAGGGAAAGUAGUUGAUUUGUUGGCCAUUUGCAGAGAAAUUUCAGUGGGUGUCAACUUAUCCAAUUCAAGUCUACGAUAAAGAGAGAGCGGCAUAACACUAACACCGGCUCCAAGGUCACAUAAGGCAGUUCUUACGUAGUUUCCUUUAAUGGAGCAAGGUAUAGUGGGCACUCCGGGAUCACCAAGUUUCUUAGGAGUUCCACCUUUGAAAGUGUAAUUGGCAAGCAUGGUGGAGAUCUCAAGAUCUGGUAUCUUCCGUUUAUUAGUCACGAUAUCUCUCAUGUACUUGGCAUACGGAGACAUCUUGAGCAUAUCAGUUAACCGCAUCUGCAGAAAGAUGGGUCUUAUCAUCUCAACAAAACGCUCAAAAUCCUCAUCAUCCUUUUUCUUGGAUGGCUUAGGAGGGAAGGGCAUAGGUCUCUGAACCCAUGGCUCCCUUUCUUUACCAUGCUUCCUAGCAGUGAAGUCAUUCUUAUCGUAUUUCUUAGGUUGUGGGUUAUCAGGAUUAACCGUAGGUUCAAUCUCCACAUCCUCAUCAUUGCUAGGUUGAGCAUUAUUAUGAACAUCACUGUCCAUAUUGUCACCAAGUUCAUGUUCAUCACCAGAUUGUGUUUCUGCAUCAGACGCAGAAAUAUCAUUAGGUUCUUCAGGUGUGAGAGUAUUUGGUGAACUGGCGUGUAGGUUUCUAUCAUCCUUCUUCUUCUCCUUAGGAUGACUGGGUGUAUCAGCAUUGAUUCCUUGAGAAUCUUGAUCAAUUCUAUUAGGAUGACCUUCAGGAUACAAAGGUUCCUGAGUCAUUUUGCCUCCUCUAGUAAUGACUCUGACAGAGUUGUCAUUUAAUUCAUUGAGCAAGUCAUUCUGAGCUUUAAGUACUUGUUCUACCCGAGUAGUAAUCAUAGAGGCAUGUUUACUCAGAAGCUUCAGAUCAUUGACAUUUCUGUCUACACAAGCACUUAAAUGGCUAAGCAUACGAGUACUUUGUUCCAAGUGUGUGCUAACAAAAUCAUUGAAACUCUGUUGUUUGGCAACAAAGUUGUCAAAUUCAUCAAAGCAUAGGCUAGCAGGUUUAUCAAAGGGAAUAUCACUCUCAUCAAACCUACGCAGAGAAUUUACUUCUACUACCUGUAUCGGGUUAUCGAGACCAUGGAUCUCUUCGAUAGGUGGUAGAUUUUUGACAUCUUCACAUAUAAUGCCUUUCUAUUGCAUAGAUUUCUUGGCUGCUUGCAUAUCUUCGGGACUGAGGAAUAGAAUACCUCUUUUCUUCGGAGUUGGCUUAGGAGGUGGUUCGGGAAUAGUCCAAGCAUUAUCGUUGAUCAAGAUGUUAUUCAGUAGGGUCUCAACUUGUUCUACAGUUCGUUCCCUAAAAACACAACCGACACAACUAUCUAGGUGGUCUCUAGAGGCAUCGGUAAGUCCGUUAUAGAGGAUAUCAAGUAUCUUGUUCUUCUUAAGAGGGUGAUCAGGCAAAGCAUUCUGUAGCUGGACGAGCCUCCCCCAAGCUUGUGGAAGACUCUCUUCUUGGAGUUGAGAAAAGUUGUAUAUUUCCUGCAAGGCAGCUUGCUUCUUAUGGGCAGGGAAAUAUUUCUCACAGAAGUAAUAGACCAUAUCCUGGGGACUACUCACACAUCCAGGAGCAAGAGAGGUGAACCAGGCUUUAGCGUCAUCCUUUAGAGAGAAAGGAAACAACUUAAGGAUAUAAUAGUGACGGAUCUUCUCCUCAUUGGUGAAAAGGGUGGCUAUAUCGUGUAGUUUGGCAAGAUGGGCUACGACCGUCUUAGACUCAUAACCGUGAAAAGGAUCAGAUUCGACUAGACAGAUUAUCUCAGGAUCGAUAGAGAAUUCAUAAUCCUUAUCGGUGAUAAAGAUAGGUGAAGUGGCAAACUUCGGGUCGUAUUUCAUCUUAGCUUUCAGAGAUUUUUCCUUCCACUUGACAAGUAAUUUCUCAGUGUCAUAGGCAUCCUUACACGCAAGAAAAUCCUCAGCUAUCUCUCCCUCCAUAACGUAACCCUCAGGUAUAUCAGGCAAUUCAUAUCUAGGAGAGCUAGAUCUAGCAGGAGCAAAAGCAGGUUCUAUCUCAAUAGUAUCGACAGUAUCAAAAGCAUCACGAGCAUUGGCAGUAACUCUAGCAAUAUGAGCAUCAAGGAACACCCCCAGUGGAACAUCAGGCAAAGUAGUAUCUCUAGCAGUAUCAAGCAUAGCAUCAUCAGGCGUAGAAUCUCUAGCAGUAUCAAGCAUAGCAUCUCUAGCAAUAUCAGGCAAAGCAGUAUCAGGCAUAGUAUCUCUAGCAGUAUCAGGCAUAGUAUCAAGCAUAGCAUCUCUAGCAGUAGCAUCAUAAGCAUCAUCAAGCACAUGCGACAUAUCAAGAUUUCUAGCAGGAGGUGAUGUCGCAAACUUACUCAUAAUUGAAGGUGAAUCAAGUGCAGAGCUAGAUGGCAAUUCCUUACGUCCCCUCGUAGUUGAGGGCAAGACCUUGGUCUUCGGAUCCUUCAGAUUCUUCAUAGUGAUCAGCAGAUAUAAAUCCCAAGUAACUCAGAGAAUAUAGCAAUACCUUCCCGGCAACGGCGCCAAAAAAAUGCUUGAUGUCAGCUGUGCUUCCCUUACAACGGCACUAGAAGAACGCAGCUAGCACUCUCCAGCAAUCGAAGCUAGAAGAAUGUUGUUGACGGCCCACCAGCGCGUGGGAUCGUAGCAGUUUUCGAGGGUAGAGUAUUCAACCCAAAUUUGUUGGUUCGCAUGACGGGAGGUGAGAGAAUACUCUCAAGUAUUAGCAGCUGAAUAUGUCAGAUUCAACCACACCAGAAAGAUUAGUAUCUGCAAGCAAAGUAGUAGUAGCAAAGGAGCGAGUAACGGCAGUGGCAAGGAACAACAGUAGUGACAGCAGUAGCAAGUAGCAACAGUAGCAAGCGACAGUAGUAGCAACAGUAGCAGCAGAGCAAGACAAGUAACAGCAGUAGCAACAGUAGUAACAUCAGCAGAGCAAGACAAGUAACAGCAACAGUAGGACAAACUCGUAGGCAAUGGGUCGGUGAUUUGUUUGGAUGAUAUUCAUCAUACAACAGUUAUAACAUGGAGAGAUAUGUGGCUAGCUCCCGUUCGUCAAUGUGAUGUAGGCAUGCAUUCCGUGUGUCAUCAUACGUGCUUAGGGAAAAGCACUUGCAUGACAUCUAUUGUCCAUCCCUCCCGUGCCAGCGGGGUCCAAAAGGAAACUACGGGAUAUUAAGGUUCUCCUUUUAAUAAAGAACCGGACCAACACAUUAGCACUUGGUGAACACAUAUACUCCUCAAACUAUGGCCAUCACCGGGAGUGGUUCCGGUUAUUGUCACUCUGGGGUUGCCGGAUCAUAACACAUAGUAGGUAACUACAACUUGCAAGAUCGGAUCUAAAACACACAUAUAUUGGUGGCAAAAUAAUAAUUUCAGAUCUUAAAUCAUGGCACUCGGGCCCUAGUGACAAGCAUUAAGCAUGGAAAAGUAGUAGCAACAUCAGUCUCAGAACAUAGUGGAUACUAGGGAUCAAUCCCCAUCAAAACUAACUCGAUUACAUGAUAGAUCUCAUCCUACUCAUCACCGCCCAGCGAGCCUACGAAUAGAUUACUCACGAACGACGAAGAGCUUCAUGGAAUUGGAGAGGGAAGAAGGUUGAUGAUGACGAUGGUGACGAUUUCCCCUCUCGGGAGCCCAAGACGGACUCCAGAUCUGCCCUCCAGAUGAAGAACAUGUUGUGGCGGUGCCUCCAUAUCGCAAACGCGAUGAAAACUUCUCUUUUUAUUUUUUUGGGACGAAAGGGAACUUAUAUACCUGAGAUUGGGGCGGCAGAGCCGUGUGGGCCCCACAAGCCUGCCCACCGCCACCAGGGGGUGGCGAAGCCUCGGCUUGUGACCCACUGGCCCACCCCCUGAGGUGGAACUUGGCGCAGAUAUUUUUCAUAUUUUCCAAAAAUCCUCCCCGUAAAUUUUCAGGACGUUUGGAGAACUUUGAUUUCUGCACAAAAAUAACACCAAGGCAAUUUUGCUGAAAACAGCGUCAGUCCAGGUUAGUUCCAUUCAAAUCAUGCAAAUUAGAGUCCAAAAGAAGGGCAAAAGAGUUUGGAAAAGUAGAUACGAUGGAGACGUAUCAAUAUCCACGACAGUACCGGUCAGCUAAGAAAAGACAGGUUUGGGUCUUUGCAAGGAACGAAUGCAUGAAGUAGAUACUUGUUACCGAGACAACACUGGAUUGAUGUACUAGGUAGUUGUUCGUUGAUCAUCCUAACUUGGCAACAAUAAGCACGUGGUCUCAACACCUUCCUUGUAGGUGAGCCGAGCAUCCAAUGCAUCUCCAAUUGUUCCUAGAACAACAAAACAAACCAAAUGGUGCCCAAACUCCACUUAAAUAUGUGCAUAUAGAUAUGAAAUUGAAUUUCAUGCACGCUUUAGCCAAUUUAUGACAAGGUGGAGUUUCCCCUAUAUACUCGGGUAAAGGAAAGAAAGCAUGCAAGCGAAGCUAUAUAUAGUAAAUAUGCAUGCUCAAGGCUCUCAAGAAUCAACUCAACACAAAGUUGAUAAGUCACCAAAAGAGAAGGUAUCAAGUGAUAAUAAGAUCCAAACGAAAAAUUAUCACUUGAAGGAUAUCAAUUAAAAGAUACCUCAAGGAAUGAGAUAUCCAUUGACACAUGCCAAAAAAAGGAAACAAGAUACCAAUUGAAGGAAAACAAACACGAGGUAUCUAGUUUCCAAAAGAGAGAUAGGUUCCAAACAAACCAAACCCUCGACAAAUUUUCAUGAUGGCACAAAGCAUCAUAAAGAUCAAGACUUGCCUCCCAUCAACACACUUGAAGGGGAUCAAAAGAUUUUAUGAUGGACGAAUAAAGAGAGUGUUCCAAAGAAAAUAGGAUAACUCCCCCAAGGGAUGUGCAUUAUAUAGAAUUUGCAUUUAAAUACAAAAUGCACAAGAUGGGAUCAUGACUUCCUCUAUAUCUAUAAAAACACUAGACAUGUUAAAAUAGAUCCACAAGAGGCAAGGAAGACAAACGAAACACAAAAUCCAAUGUAAAGACGAUUAGCAAUUUCUACCACAUGAUGGGAAUGCCAAUUGUCAAGGACAAGAAGUAUUUUUGAAAUAAUACUCAUUGGUAGAUCACAAAAAUAUCCAACAUCAUCUUUUACCCCUAAAGCGCAAGCAAAUGACACUUGUAGAGAUAACAUGCCACCUAGGAACAAGAUAAUUUACAAUAUCAACACUGAGUGGAAAUACCUCAAAUGUACACAUUUUCUAGGCUUGUAAUAUGAACAUAGCGUAUUACUCCCCCAUAAUGUGAUAAACCAACAAUAUUAACAACUGGCAAAAUAAAACCAACAAGAGAUAGUUAAUGGACCAUAAAGAAUUUGAAUUUCCCAUGAGUAAGACAUACCACAUAGAAACUAGAUAAUCUUGAAAUAUCAAUACUAAGUGGUAUUCCCCAUGUAUACACAUUUAUAGGAUUGUGAGGUGUGCGAAGCACAUCACUCCCCCACAAUGGGAUAAUCCAUUAAUCUCUCACAAGAGCCAACAAAGAUACAAACAAGAGGCAAAAAAGUUAAAUACAAGACUCACAUAUACAUGAUGUGCAAACCAACAUACACAUACUCGAUUACUCAAGAUAAGCAAGUUGGAAGAACAACAUAUACAAACACAUGCAAGGUACAAAACCACAACAUGCAAAGGGACAAGUAACUAACAAUGUAAACAAUUUAAGUACAAGUUACUGUAAGGAGGCACAUUGGAUAUAAGAUAGAAACUCGAUAAUCCAAAUGACUUGCCUUGAGAUAAUAUGAAUGAUGAAGACCCCUUAAUUCUUCAUUAUGUGUCAAAGUCUCCAAUGUCCUACAGAAUCACCUAUUGAUCAAGGUUGAGCUUGUUGGUCCCCAACCAUGUUGGGUCCUAAGAGGUUAGUCAUAAUAGGCUUGGCAACCCAAAUGGUACUUUUAUUGACACCACUUUGUGUACCAACAAACUUGGCAAACACAUUGCCAACCUUAUCCUUCCCAAGAGAAUAGAUAUCAUCAAUAAUUAUUGGGUUGGAUAAAUUAUCUCUCGUGCAAGAAGAAGCGAAGUGACCCUUCUCACGACAUAAGUAGCAACAUCUACCCUUUAAUUUCUUCCCUAUUGAUUUCUCAACAUGAGGAGUGUUGGCAUGUGACUUCUUGGGAAGAGGCCUUUCUUCAACUUGUAGUUGAGUAUGUGACUGAACUUGUGGUCGCUUCCCUUGUUGCUUGUGACUUUGGGACUUCUUAUUUGGUGGGAAAGAUCUAACAUGGUGCCCUUCAAUUUUGCACUUGAAGCAAAUAAUCUUGGCUGGAUUCUUUACUUGUUCUUGGCCCUUAUUCUUGAAGUUUUUGGACUUCUUCUUGUUGGAUUUGAAUCCAAGUCCAUCUUUGUCAUUCAGGGAGUUUUUCCCACACAAGACAUUGUUGAGUGUGGACAUCCCUUCAUGACUCUUUUCCAAGUCUUUCUUCAAAGAAGUGACUUGGGCCUUGAGCUCUUCGAUUUCCUCUACAUGGUUAGUAUCAACACAAGUACUAGAGGAAUUAUAAGCUUCAUUGUUAGAGCAACAAGGCAAGGAAAGUAAUUCAUCACAUGAGGUAGCAACAUUAUGAGUAGAAGAAUUACGAGGACUAGCACAUGGCAAUAUAGCAAUUUGACUAGAAGUAGUGCCAUUGUCCACAUGAGGCUCACUUGAUGUUACCUUGAUAGUAAUAGCCUCACGAGCUAAUUUUAGUGCAUUAUGGGAUGCUAGAAGAUCAUCAUGAGAGCUUGUGAGCAUUACAUGACUUUCUUCCAAUUUCCCAUAAGCUCAACAUUCUCCUUUAAAAUGGAUGCUUCACAAGAAGUAGAGUUAGUAGCACAAGCAUCAUCAUUAGCAAUAAGAGGAGAAGGCACCUUGGCAAGCUCUUUAGCAUAUGAAGCUUCAAGUUGAGCAUGAGACUCGGUCAGAUCAAUGAGCGUACUCUUGAUAGCCCUUGAGCCAUUUUCGAGGUGCUCAUUGUCCUUAAGGAGUUUAGCAUGUGCAACUUCAAGCUUAUCAUUUUUAGUUCUAAAAUCAUUAGCCACCUUGAGAGCUCUAUCAUGGGAUUCCUUUAAUCUAGAUAAUUCUAGAGCAAAGGUUUCCUCAAGAGAUUCCUUGGUGGUUUGUUCAUUUUCAAGAGCUUGUGAUAACUCUGCGAUCUCAUUAGCGUAAUCACGCUCAUGACCUUCCAUUAUCUCAAUGGUGGCCUCAUGCUCCUCAAGAUGAGCUUCCAACUCCUCAAUGUAUUUCUUGCCCUCAGUGGCAAUAGACAUGAUUUCCAAGAAGUUGGAACAAGCAAAUUUAUUCUUAUAAAGAGAUUAAAAAUUGUUUCACCCUUAAUUUUUAAGGAUGCAAUAUUAUAACUCUCUUCACCAUUAUCCUCAUCCCCAUUAUUAUCAACAUCAUCAUCAUGAGAUAUAUUGGGAUUCAAAGUAGGAGAUACCUUUGAAGCCUUAGCCAUAAGGCAAAAGUGAGUAACACUAGAUGAUGUAGGAUCCCUUGAAGCAUCAUUUAAGGCCACAUCUUGUUCCAUGGAGUGAUGAAAUUCCUCUACAUUGUUAGCACAACAACUCAAGAAAAUAGAUAAAUUUUUAUCAUGGCAACAAGAUAUAGGAAGCAUAUCAUCCUGAGAUUUAGUCAAGCAGUUUUUACAUGAUAUGCAAGGACUGUCAACACAAGCAUGUAAAACAUUUAGAGUUAUCGAAGUGUUAACGCCCAAAGAUGAAGCAUUGCAAUAAUAUAGUGAUGAAGGAUCAUCAACAAUAAGCCCACUAUCAUCAUUGCAAUGAUCUCCACUACUCACCAUAUCAUUACCUUGUGGCAAUCCACAUGUAGGUGAAGUAGAUGAAGUUGAGAAGACCAGAAGACCGGAGGUGGAGGGAGAACAAUCAUUCCCACAAAUCUUGGACAUACCAUAUUUAUCUUGAAGCUUUGUCCACAACUCAUGAGCAUCCCGGAAUGGCAUGAGUUGAAAUAUAACUACAUUGCUCAAAGCAUCAAAAGGCACAUUAGAAGCUUGAGAAUUGAGAUAAGAGUUUUUCUCAUCCUCUAAAGAUAUAUUUUGAGAAUCCUUUGGAGGAGAAAACCCAUAUCUACAAUUCGCUCCAAGUUUGGGUCCAUGACCCUAAAGUGAUUAAGCAUGCGAAUUACCCAAACAUCAAAAUUUGUGCCAUCGAAACUAAGAGUGUUAGAGAAUCCUAAACCCCUAGUCGACAUCCUUACUCUCUAGGUGGUUAAACCUAAUAAAGAGAGACCUAGCUCUAAUACCAAUUGAAAGGAUGUGGAUGUCACCUAGAGGGGGGGGGGUUAAUAGGCGCUUUAAAAUAAUUACAAUUUAGGCUUGAAAAAAUGUGGAAUAAAACUAACGUUUAAUUUGUGAAGCACGAAACCUAAAACAACUAGGCUCACCUAUGUGCACCAACAAAUUAUGCUAAGCAAGAUAAACAACUAAGUGAUAGCAAGAUAUAUGACAAGAAACAAUAUGUCUAUCACAAAGUAAAGUGCAUAAGUAAAGGGUUCGGGUAAGAGAUAACUGAGGCACGCGGAGACGACGAUGUAUCCCGAAGUUCACACCCUUGCGGAUGCUAAUCUCCUUUUGGAGCGGUGUGGAGGCACAAUGAUCCCCAAGAUGCCACUAAGGCCACCGUAAUCUUCUCACGCCCUCGCACAAUGCAAGAUGCCAUGAUUCCACUAAGGGACCCUUGAGGGCGGUCACGGAACCCGUACAAAUGGCAAACCUUGGGGGCGGUCACCAGUGCCCGUACAAAUUGCUCGGGGCAAUCUCCACAACCUAAUUGGAGACCCCGACGCUUGCCCGGAGCUUUACACCACAAUGAUUGAGCUCCGAGACACCACCAAGCUUCUAGGACGCCAAAGCAUCCACGAAGAACAAUAUCUAGGGUACUAAGUACCAAAGAUAAUGACCUUCUCAAACUUCACUUCCACAUAUCACCGUGGAGAACUCAAACCGAUGCAACUAAUGCAAUGGAAAGAACACACGAAGUGGACAAGUCCCUCACACUCAAAUCCCUCCACAACAACAAAAGUUAUGGAGAAAUAUAAGAGGAAGAACAAGGUGCUCACAAAGAACUCCAAGAUCUAGAUCCAAGGGGUUCCCCUCACAUAGAGGAGAAAGUGAUUGGUGGAGAUGUGGAUCUAGAUCUCCUCUCUCUUUUCCCUCAAGAACAAGCAAGAAUCAUUGGAGGGAUUGAGAGUAAGCAAGCUAUAAGAAGGUCAACAAUGGGGGUAGAACAUGAGCUCAACGGAUAAGAAAACCCCAAGGGGGAAGAAAGACCCCUUUAUAUAGUGGGGGAAACAAUCAGACUGUUACCCCCACUUACAGCCCGAGCACAGCGGUACUACCGCUGCCCCUAGCGGUACUACCGCUCAGGGAGGAGCAGUACUACCGCUGCCCCUGGCGGUACUACCGCUAGCCCUGGCGGUACUACCGCUAGCCCUGGCGGUACUACCGCUAGGACUGGAGCGGUACUACCGCUAGAGAAAGUCUUCGCAAAAAGUCCGACGGAGAACAACUGCUUAGAGAGAGGUACUACCGUACCGAAGCGGUACUACCGCUAUCCCCAGCGGUACUACCGCUACGACUGGAGCGGUACUACCGCUCGCCACUCAAACAACCAUGACUUUCGCAUACGAGCUCCGAAUGGAGCAAACCCAAGCUUGUUGGAUUCAGGACUACAAGAGCUAUCCAAACAGCGAAUGGAAAUCUUAAGAACAUGCAGUUAUGAAAAUGCAAAUGAUAUAGAGAUGUGAGACCUCUAUGAAUGAAGAACCAACAAAAACUCCAACAUCGAAAACAUCAUAGAAGAUGUAUAUGGACUCCGUUUUCGAUGAACUCGAGCUUGUCAUGAAGAUGACCAUAAGCUCUAAAACUGACAAAGAGAAACACCAAACAAGAACCAAGAAGUAUGAUGCAAGGAUGCAAAUGGUUUGAGCUCUCAACAAACGAUACGAUCAAGCUACUCACUUGAGAGGCCCCCUUGACAGUACAACAAUCUAUCCUAAAACAGAAAAUCUAUCAAGGGCAAACCUAUACCUUGCACCUCGUCCUCUUGAGCUAGAUGAUGAUGAUCUUGGCUUCCUCAAGAUGGACCACCUUUCAUGAUUGCUUUGGCUUAAUGAAGACUAGUUUAUUGCUCCCCCAUACUCACUAUGGGUGAGCCACUCUUCAGCAUAUCUUCACAAGUCCAUUUCCACCAUAAUGGACGGCAAGCUUCAAGCAUGAUAUAUUCGUGUUGAUCCACUUUAAUUUGCACACCGCAAUCUUCAUGACGAUCACCACUUGACGUCAUCCUUCAUGGGUUGUAUGAGAUCUUCCUUUUGACACAAGCCCAUGGAAACACACCAUACCAUGGGAUCACUUGAUCCCUCUCGGUACAUCUUGUAUGCUUUGUGUGUUGAUCAUCUUGAUUUACUCUUUAUCUGGCGAUCUUGAUCAACCUUGUGUCUCUAUGACCAUUCUUUGGAUAACACCUUGAAUACCACCUUGGUCAUCAUAUAAAAUCAUUGAACCCAACAGAUGGACUUCAAGAAGUACCUAUGGACAAAUCCUAUAAAUCUCUCCCUAAUAAUAAAGCAAAUAAGGUUUCUGGUCGUCCGUCUUGAAAAUUACGCCUAAAGUUUGCAUAAAUUACCCACCAUGCCACCCGUAAGUAACAGAAAACGUUUCACAAAGCAACAUGUAAAAACGUCCUAUAUUACGCUCUACAUGCUCGGAGAAUAUCCAACACACCGUAAGGGCCGGCUCAUGCACACGCGCCUGCUUUUAGUUCCGUUUAUUUUUUUUAUUUUCAGUUCCGUUUUAUUUUUUAUUUUAAAUAAUUUAAAACUUCAAAUAAUCUUUAAAGUUUUAAUAAAAUGAAAAUUAUAAAUCAACACAUUUAAAAAAUUAAAAUGUUUGUGACUUCAAAAACUGCUCGGAGUUUUGUAAAAAAUGCUCGCAUAUACAAUAAAAUGUUUGCAAUUUUAGAAAAAUGUUUGUACAAUAAGAAAAGUCCAUGAUCUCAAAUACAAUUCCAUGUAUUAAAAAUUAUUAAAAGCAUUUAUCAAAAUGCUUUCUAAUUCAAAAUAUGUUAAUGUAUUUAAAAAAUGUCCUAAAAUUUAAAAAAUAGCUAAUGCCUGUUUUGAUAGUUUCUUUUUUUAUUUAAGAUUUUCCGUUCCAUUUUUGUUUAUUUAUAAUUUAAAUAAUUUAGAAUUACAAAAACUUUUGCAUACUAAAAAAUAGGAAUUUUGAAUUAAAAUGCUGACGAAUUUUUAUUUUGAAUUAAAAAUAAGAUUCAGAAAAAGCGCCGGAUUUUUAUAUUUUUUUGCAAAUUCCAAAACAAUGUCCAUGAAUUUAAUAAAUAUAUUACUGAUUUAUAAAAAAUGUUUGUUUAUUCAUAAAAACUUCAUGCGUUUCAAAAAAUGUUUGUGAAUUUUUUUUAAAAUCCUCCAACAUUAAAAAAUAUGUUCGUCUUUUCUUGAAUUGGUCGCCAAUUUAAAAGAAAAUAUUUAAACCCGUUCGAAAUAUAAAAAAUAUUCACGAUUUCUAAAUCAAGCGAUGAUAUGUGAACAUAAUGCGGUCAUCAUCAUUGGAGAUUAUGUUUUUUCCUUCCGUGGCAACGCACGAGCCAUUUUGGUAGUAUAACUAAGGAAACCAUUAGUCCAUAGGAAUUUUCAUCAAUUAUCAAAACCACAUAUGGAUAAAUAUGCUCUAACACACAUGACAAAGGCACAAGACGUUUCGGCACCUGACGACCCACAAGUAUAGGGGAUCAAUCGUAGUCCUUUCGAUAAGUAAGAGUGUCGAACCCAACGACGAGCAGAAGGCUGUGAUAAACGGAUUUCAGCAAGGUAAUAACUGCAAGCACUGAAAGUGGCGGUAACAAGUGAUGGUGUAGCGAGGUGAAACGUAACAAGUGAAAAGUAACAAGUAACAAGUAGUAGCAACGGUGCAACAAGUGGCUCAAUCCAUUUUGUAGCAAGGGACAAGCCUGAACAAAGUCUUAUAGGAGGAAAAACGCUCCCGAGGACACACGGGAAUUUCUGUCAUGCUAGUUUCAUCAUGUUCGUAUGAUUCACGUUCGUUACUUUGAUAGUUUGAUAUGUGGGUGGACCGGCGCUUGGGUACUACCCUUACUUGGACAAGCAUCCCACUUAUGAUUAACCCCUCUCGCAAGCAUGCGAAACUACGAAAGAAGAAUUAAGACAACGUCUAACCAUAGCAUUAAACUAGUGGAUCCAAAUCAGCCCCCUAUGAAGCAACGCAUAGACUCGGGUUUAAGCUUCUGUCACUCCAGCAACCCAUCAUCUACUUACUACUCACAAAUGCCUUCCUCUAGGCCCAAAUAUGGUGAAGUGUUAUGUAGUCGAUGUUCACAUAACACCACUAGAGGAAAAACAACAUACAACAUAUCAAAGUACCGAACGAAUAUCAAACUCACAUGACUAUUAUCAGCAUGACUUAUCCCAUGUCCUCAGGAACAAAAGUAACUACUCACAAAGCAUAAUCAUAAUCAUGAUCAGAGGUGUAAUGAAUAGCAUCAAGGAUCUGAACAUAAACUCUUCCACCAAGUAAUCCAACUAGCAUCAACUACAAAGAGUAAUCAACACUACUAGUAACCUUACAAGUACCAAUAGGAGUCGUGAGACGAAGAUUGGUUACAAGAGAUGAACUAGGGAUUGGAGAGGAGAUGGUGCUCAUGAAGAUGGUUCCCCUCCGACGAGAGGAGUGUUGGUGAUGAUGAUGGCGACGAUUUCCCCCUCCGGGAGGGAAGUUUCCCCGGCAGGAUCGUCCUGCCGGAGCUCUAGAUUGGAUCUGCUCAAGUUCUGCCUCGUGGCGGCGGCGAAAGCACGAAAAAGCUCCCGAUUGAUUUUUUCUGGAACGAAAACCCUCAUAUAGCAAAAGAGGGGGGCUAGUGGGCUGUCAGGGAGCCCACAAGCUUGCCAUCCGCCAGCAGGGGGGUGGCGGUGGCAGGGCUUGUGGCGCCCUGGUAGCCCCCCUCCGGUACUUCUUUCGCCCAGUAUUUUUUAUAUAAUCCCAAAAAAUUCCACGUAACUUUUUAGGGAAUUUGGAGAUGUGGAGAAUAGUGGACUAAGAUUUGCUCCUUUUCCAAUCCAGAAUUCCAGCUGCCUGAAUUCUCCCUCUUCAAAUAAACCUUGCAAAAUAAGAGAGAAAAGGCAUAAAUAUGGUACCACAAAGUAAUAUAAUAGCCCAUAAAUCAAUAAAUAUCAACAUGAAAGCAUGAUGCAAAAUGGACGUAUCAACUCCCCCAAGCAUAGACCUCGCUUGUCCUCAAGCGAAAACCAAGUUCCAUAAACAUGUCCACAUGUUUAGGGACGAAGGUGUCGAUAAAACAUAAUACAGACAUGAGGGCAUCAUGAGCACACAUAGAACAACAAUACAUCAUAAAGAUUCUUAUGGGAAAGUAACAAUUCCUUCACAAAGCAAAGCAUAAAGCAAAAACCUUACCGAGAAGUAAUCAACAAUAGUCCAAAGUCAUUGAAGCAAUUGCAAUUUAUCACAACAUCAGAAAGAGUCAAAUAAGAGCUUGUAUGGCAAAUCCACAUACUCAAUCAUCUCUUUUGUUUUCCACAAUUGUUACAACUCACUUGGUACUCAUGAUGUCAAAGUUUCAGCUGGACACAGAGGAAGAUAGGGGCUUAUAGUUUUGCCUCCCAACGAUUUACCUCAAGGGUAAAGUCAACAAUAAUAAAGCAUAAGUAUUCAACUCCAAGUUGAUAUAUGAAUAUAGAUCUUUCCCAAGCAUGUGACGGUAGCCAAGACAAAGGCAAAAAUAGGGAAUUGGUGAAGAUCACCAUGACUCUUACAAGGGCAAAAAGUAAAGGUACAAGAUAGGCCCUUCGCAGAGGGAAGCAGAGGUUGUCAUGUGCUUUUGAGGUUUGAAUGCGUGUCCUCUUAGUGCGGAGGAACGUCACUUUAUAUUGCCUCCUGUGAUAAAGAACUUUAUUAUGCAGUCUAUCGCUUUUAUGUCUUCCUCAUCACAGGUUCGUACAAAGCUUAUUUUCCACACACUAAUAGAUCAUACAUAUUAGAGAGCAAUUUUUAUUGCUUGCACCGAUGACAACUUACUUGAAGGAUCUUAUUCAAUCCAUAGGUAGGUAUGGUGGACUCUCAUGGCAAAACUGGGUUGAAGGUUUAUGGAUGCACAAGUAGUAUCUCUACUUGGUGCGGGAGUUUUGGCUAACAUGAGGUGGAAGCAAUCAUCACAUGCUAAGGGAUCUCUAAUCAUAUAACAUUAUUUGGAACCAAGCAAACAUAAUUCAUUAUGUUGUCUUCCUUGUCCAACAUCUACUCCUAUGCAUGUAAUAGUUUGGUGAGUGCUCACAAUUGUAAAAAGUGUCUAAGAUGAUAUAUUUAUAUGUGAACCUCUCUUUCAUUAUUACUUCUUAUUAAUUGCAACAAUGACUGAGGUCUAUGUUGAUUUAUUCUCAACAAGUUUCAAUCGUCAUACGUGUCAUAUGUGAAGCUAUCACUUUCCAUAAGAUCGUCUCAUGAUCUUUCAUGCUAUCGUUCUUUUCAUACUUUUGAUCAUGGCACAAAGCAAAGCCCUUGACUAAGAUACUCUUUAUUAUAUAGCUCGCAAGCUCGAAUACAUCGGGGGAGAGACAAAAGCAAAAGACUCAAACUAAAUACUAAAGACUUAUUCCUCUAAGAGAAGAAAUAAAAACUGAAAAGGAAAGAACUAAAACAAAGGUAAAAGCAAAAGAUAUAAAGGUGAUACGAUACCAGGGCAACUCCCCUAAGCUUGGCAGAAGCCAAGGGGAUUGCCCAUACCAAUGCUUAGUUGUCCUCCUUUGGUGGUGAUGGUGGUGGAGUUGUUGCCUUUGAUUCCAAGAGAGCUAUCAAUCUUUGAUUUAUACCUUUGAGAUCUGUGACAUGGUUUUCCAACAAAACAACUUCACGAGAAAGGGAAAUAUUGCGAGCAUGAGUUGUUUCGCAAAACCUCAAGAGUUCAAUCAAGGAUGGAGACAACACGUGAGGAAGGGUUGGAGAAAAUCUACUCCUUCUACAUCUCCAAUGUUGAACAUAGGUUGAACUUCCUCCCUAGCUUGGGUUUUCUCCUUAGCUUGGUCCCUGGCUUCCGUAACUUCUACUCUUUUCAAAUCAACAUCUACUUCCUCAUGAACUUGGUGAAGAUCAUUCUCCCCAACAGAUUCCUGAGACAUCUUUGCUCUAAAUCUGCGGCAGACAACAAGCUCCAAACGGAAACAGAGGAAAACUGCGCGAUACGGAGAUCAAAACCUUCGGGCGAAUAUAUAUUGUUUUUUCUGGACCAGAAGGAGUGCUCCGCAAGAAAACGGAGUCCGAGAGGCACACGAAGUGCCCACAAGCCCUCCCUCCGCCACCAGGGGGGUAGGUGGCGGCUUCCAAGCUUGUGGCCGCCUCGUGCGCUCUCCGGACUGCUUUUUAUUUUUCUAAUUUUCCAAAAAUUCCAAAAUGGAAAAAUUUCCUAUUGGAAAAGAAUCGGAGUCCAAUUUCUUACCGAAACAGAUACCUCUUCAUUUUCAGGGUCUGAAACAGGCUGAUAAACAUCCCUUAUGUACUCCUAUGGAGUUAUGACAUUGAUGAUAUUGGUCUCAACAUUUAUGGGAGUACCAGAGAUGUGGUGCUUGAUUCUUUGCCCAUUUACCACUCUAGGAAAAUUUCCUUCCGUGUUAUUAAUUUUGAUGGCACCGGAACGAUAUACUUCCUCGACAACGUAAGGACCUUCCCAUUUAGAGGGGAGCUUGCGUGCGAAGAAUCUCAAACGAGAAUUGUAUAGCAGGACAUAAUCACCUACAUUGAACUCUCGUUUCUGUAUUCGUUUAUCCUGCCAUCUCUUAACCUUUUCCUUGAACAACUUGGCAUUCUCAUAUGCCUGGCCCCUCCAUUCAUCUAAUGAGCUGAUAUCAAACAACCACUUCUCGCCGGCAAGUUUGAAAUCAAAGUUGAGCUCUUUGAUUGCCCAAUAAGCUUUGUGUUCCAGCUCAAGAGGUAAAUGACAGGCCUUACCGUAAACCAUUUUAUACGGUGACAUGCCCAUGGGAUUCUUAUAAGUAGUCCUAUAAGCCCAUAGUGCAUCGUCAAGUUUGCUAGACCAAUUCUUUCGAGAUAUAUUGACGGUCUUUUGUAGGAUCAAUUUGAUCUCCCUAUUACUCAACUCCACUUGACCACUAGACUCAGGAUGAUAAGGAGAUGCAACUCUAUGGUUGACAUCAUACUUAGCGAUCAUCUUGCGGAAAACACCAUGAAUGAAGUGUGAACCGCCAUCAGUCAUCAAAUAUCUAGGGACUCCAAAUCUUGGGAAAAUGACUUCUUUAAGCAUCUUAAUAGAGGUGUGGUGAUCAGCUUUUUUAGUGGGGAUAGCUUCUACCCACUUAGUGAUGUAAUCCACAGCUACUAAGAUGUGAGUGUACCCAUUGGAACUCGGGAAGGGUCCCAUAUAAUCAAAGCCCAAGACAUCAAAUGGUUCAAUGACAAGUGAAUAGUUCAUAGGCAUUUCCUGACGCGUACUGAUAUUCCCUAUUCUUUGGCAUUAGUCACAAGACAAGAAAAACUUACGGGAAUCCUUGAAGAGAGUGGGCCAGUAGAAACCUGAUUGGAAUACCUUGUGGACACUUCUAUCUCCAGCGUGGUGUCCUCCGUAGGCUUCAGAAUGACACUUCUACAAGAUCUGUCCCUGUUCAUGAUCAGACACACAACGUCUAAUAACACCAUCUACUCCUUCCUUAUAAAGGUGAGGAUCAUCUCAAAAGUAGUGUCUCAAAUCAAAGAAGAAUUUCUUAUUUUACUGAUAGGUGAAACUGGGUGGUAUGUAUUUGGCUACAAUAUAAUUUGCAUAAUCGGCAUACCACGGUGCACUAUGUGAAGUGCGGAUGACAUUCAAUUGCUCGUGAGGAAAGCUGUCAUCAAUAGGUCGUGGGUCAUCAAGGACAUUCUCUAGCCUGGACAAGUUAUCUGCUACAGGAUUAUCAGCACCCUUUCGGUCAACGACAUGCAAAUCAAAUUCCUGUAGCAGGAGAACCCAUCUGAUCAGCCUAGGCUUAGCGUCCUUCUUCUCCAUAAGGUACUUAAUAGCAGCAUGAUCAUAGUGAAUAGUGACUUUGGAGUCAACUAUGUAAGAUAUGAACUUUUCACAUGCAAACACGACUGCUAAAAACUCCUUUUCCGUAGUGGCAUAGUUUCUUUGGGCACUGUCUAGAGUUUUACUAGCGUAGUGAAUAACAUUCAACUUCUUGUCAACUCUUUGUCCUAGAACAUCACCAACAACAUAAUCACUAGCAUCGCACAUGAUUUCAAAGGGCAAGUUCCAGUCAGGUGGUUGAACAAUAGGUGCAGUUAUCAAAGACUUCUUAAGUAUUUCGAAAGCUUCCUCACAAUCCUCAUCAAAAACAAAAGGAACAUCCUUCUGCAAGAGGUUGGUAAGAGGCCUAGAAAUCUUAGAGAAGUCUUUAAUGAACCUUCUAUAGAAACCACCAUGACCUAGGAAACUUCGUAUACCUCUGAUAUCUGUGGGGCAAGGCAUUUUCUCAAUUGCAUCAACCUUAGCCUUAUCAACUUCAAUGCCUCUUUCUGAAAUUUUGUGUCCUAAGACGAUACCUUCAUUAACCAUAAAGUGACACUUCUCCCAAUUCAAGACGAGGUUGGUAUCUUCGCAUCUCUGUAAGACUCGAUCAAGGUUGCUGAGGCAAUCAUCAAAGGAAGAACCGUAAACGGAGAAGUCAUCCAUGAAAACCUUGACAAUCUUUUCACAAAAGUCAGAGAAUAUAGCCAUCAUACAUCUUUGAAAGGUGGCAGGUGCAUUGCAUAAGCCAAAAGGCAUACGUCUAUAAGCAAAGGUACCGAAGGGGCAGGUGAAAGUGGUUUUCUCCUGAUCAGACUGUGCAACAGGUAUUUGCGAGAAACCUGAAUAACCAUCUAGAAAGCAGAAGUGUGUGUGUUUAGAUAGCCUUUCUAGCAUUUGGUCAAUAAAUGGCAAAGGAUAAUGGUCUUUCAUGGUUGCCUUGUUCAGUUUCCGGAAGUCUAUCACCAUCCUAUAGCCAGUGAUAAUCCUUUGUGGGAUUAGUUCAUCCUUAUCAUUAGGAACGACGGUGAUACCUCCCUUCUUAGGUACGCAAUGUACUGGACUUACCGAAUCACUAUGAGCAACAGGAUAAAUGAUUCCUGCUUCCAGAAGCUUUAAUAUUUCUUUUCUCACGACCUCUUUCAUAUUAGGAUUUAAUCUCCUUUGAUGAUCAGCAACUGGUUUAAAGUAAGGAUCGGUUUUAAUCUUGUGCUGACAUAGAGUGGGACUAAUACCCUUAAGAUCAUCAAGAGUAUAUCCAAUAGCAGCACGGUGCUUCCUCAGAGUUCUUAGUAACUUCUUCUCUUCGUGCUCUGAGAGGAGAGCACUAAUAAUAAUAGGAUAUAUCUCCUUCUCAUCAAGAUAGGCAUACUUAAGAGUAUCAGGCAACUGUUUAAGCUUGAACACAGGAUCACCCUUUGGUGGGGGAGGAUCCCCAAGCAGUUCAACAGGCAGAUUAUUCUUGAGAAUAGGAUAUUGUUCUAAGACAAUCUUAUCUAUCUCAUCUCUCUCCUCCAUAUGCAUAUCAUUUUCAUGCUCAAGAAAAUAUUGCUCUAAAGGAUCCGUAGGAGGUACGGCAAUAGAGGCAAGAGCAAUGAUUUCAUCCCUACCAGAUGACUCUCUUUCAUGGGGUUGUCUUCCAAACUUGGACAAGUUGAAUUCAUGAGACACACCCUCGAAACUAACUGUGACAGUCUGCUUAAUGCAAUCAAUGUGAGCAUUGACAAUGUUGAGAAAGGGUCUACCAAAUAUGAUGGGACAAAAGUUAUCCUGUGCAGUACCAAGGACGAGGAAAUCAGUAGGAUACUUCGUCUUACCACACAGGACUUCUUCGUCUCUCACAAUUCCCAAAGGGCAGAUAGUGUCUCUAUUAGCUAGCGUAAUAGUGACAUCAAUGGGUUCUAACUCAGCAGGUGCAAUCUCAUCUUUGAUUUCAUCAUAUAGAGAACGUGGUAUUGCACUAACACUAGCUCCCAUAUCACAUAAACCAUGGUAACAGUGAUCUCCUAUCUUGACAGAAACAAUGGGCAGGCCAACUAGAGGUCCGUGUUUGUCUUUCGCAUGAGGUUUAGCAAUUCUAGCAGAGUCCUCACAGAAUUUGAUAACAUGCCCGUCUAUGUCUUCGGCUAAGAGAUCUUUGAUAAUAGCAACACUAGGUUCUACUCUAAUCUCCUCAGGGGGUGCAAGUGGUCUAAUGUAACCCCUACGUAUCACAGUUGGAGCUUUAGAAUAAUCCUUUAUCCUAGCAGGGUAUGGUGGUUUCUCAGUGUAAGCACAAGGAACAACAGGAUCACUAAAAGCAAUGACUUUCUCCUCAACUAGAUUGGUUUUGGCUAUGUUGCUUUAUAUAGGAGAAUGAUAUUUAAACCACUUAUCUUUGGGAAGAUCAACAUGAGCAGCAAAAGAUUCACAUAGAGAAGCUACUAUCUCAGAGUCAAGUCCAUACUUAGCGCUAAAAUCUCUAGAAGUGUUUGUCUCAACAAAAGAUUUAACGCAAUCAAACUGGAAAUUCAUACCUGACUCCUUACCUUCCUCCAGCUCCCAAUCUUCAGAGUUGUGUUUGAUUCUCUCCAAUAAAUUCCACUUGUGGUCAAUAUCCUUCUUCAUAAAAGAACCAGUACAAGAAGUGUCAAGCAUGGUACGAUCUUCAUGAGAAAGCCGAGCAUAAAAGUUUUGAGUGAUGAUUUCUCUCGAGAGCUCAUGAUUGGGGCAUGAAUAUAGCAUUGAUUUAAGCAUCCCCCGAGCUUGAGCUAUGCUUUCCCUGUCACGAGGCCAAAAGUUAUAAGUAAAGUUCCAAUCACGAUGUACUAAAUGCAUAGAAUAAAACUUUUGAUGAAAUUCCAAUUUCAACCGAUUGUAGUCCCAUGAUCCAGUAUCAUCACAUAGCCUAUACCAUGUAAACGCCUUAUCCUUCAAAGAUAAAGGAAAGACUUUCUUCUUUACCUCAUCCUCGGGCAAACCUGCAAGCUUAAAUAAACCACAAACUUCAUCUACAUAGAUUAGAUGCAAGUCUGGAUGUGAAGAUCCAUCUCGUGUAAAAGGAUUAGCCAUCAGUUUCUCAAGCAUACCCGAAGGAAUUGAUAUUUUCAGUAGGUACCUCAGGUUGAGGAACAACUCCUCGUGCUUCUGUUCGUGGUGAAGAUACCCCGAACAAACUCCUCAAAGGAACAGUUUUCAUUGUGAGAAGUGACAAUAAAUUUCAGCACAGUAUAAAAAUGUUUCCUUACCAAUUUCCACUUACCAAAGGCGCUUCACUCCCCGGCAACGGCGCCAGAAAAGAGUCUUGAUGACCCACAAGUAUAGGGGAUCAAUCGUAGUCCUUUCGAUAAGCAAGAGUGUCGAACCCAUCGAGGAGCAGAAGGCUCUGAUACACGGAUUUCAGCAAGGUAAUAAUUGCAAGCACUGAAAGUAGCGGUAACAAGUGAUGGUGUAGCGAGGUGAAACGUAACAAGUGAAAAUUAACAAGUAACAAGUAGUAGCAACGGUGCAGCUAGUGGCCCAAUCCCUUUUGUAGCAAGGGACAAGCCUGAAAAAGGUCUAAUAGGAGGAAAAACGCUCCCGAGGACCACAAAGUAAUAUAACAGCCCAUAAAGCAAUAAAUAUCAACAUGAAAGCAUGAUGCAAAAUGGACGUAUCAACACCCCUCCGUGGAUUAGAAGCACGGUGGCUUCUACGGUUCUCUUUGGUGGUUUUGAGUCGUAGGAACGCCGUACUAUUAAGAGGGGAUCCAUGUCGGGAAGGUUUGGGUGGAAUCAAACUCUCACGCGCACAUUUUAUCUCCACCUCUUUUCCCUUGCUGCUAUGGAUCUCCCCCCUUGUUCUUUCUCUCUCUCUUGGCAAAAAGUCUCUAGCGGUAGUACCGCUAGAGGUGAGCGGUAGUACUGCUACUGAGCGGUAGUAGCGCUAGUAAGCGAUAGUACCGCCCCCUGGUUAGCGGUAGUACCGCUCCAAGACUGUAGUACCGCUCUCCUAGCGGUUGUGCUACGUCGGACUUUUUGCGAAGACUUUCUCAGCGGUGGUAGGCCCGGUAGUAUCUCUUGCACUCCCUUGGGUAAAGCGGUAGUACCACUCUAGUCCUAGCGGUAGUACCGCNNNNNNNNNNNNNNNNNNNNNNNNNNNNNNNNNNNNNNNNNNNNNNNNNNNNNNNNNNNNNNNNNNNNNNNNNNNNNNNNNNNNNNNNNNNNNNNNNNNNNNNNNNNNNNNNNNNNNNNNNNNNNNNNNNNNNNNNNNNNNNNNNNNNNNNNNNNNNNNNNNNNNNNNNNNNNNNNNNNNNNNNNNNNNNNNNNNNNNNNNNNNNNNNNNNNNNNNNNNNNNNNNNNNNNNNNNNNNNNNNNNNNNNNNNNNNNNNNNNNNNNNNNNNNNNNNNNNNNNNNNNNNNNNNNNNNNNNNNNNNNNNNNNNNNNNNNNNNNNNNNNNNNNCGGUUGGAUUUGUUCCCCCACUAUAUAAAGGGUUCUUCCACUCCGUGAACCCUACCUUUGACCCUCUAAGACUCCAUUGUUGCUCCCUAAGCUCAUAUGUGCCCGAUCUCUCUCCCUAGCCAAUCAAACUUGUUGAUUUCCUAGGGAUUGGUUGACAAGGAUAAGAUCUACACUUCCACCAAGAGAAACUUGAUCCCCCCCACUAAUCCCUUGCGUAUGUUGUUACUCUUGGGUGUCUGAGCACCCUAGACGAUCGAGGUCACCUCGGAGCCAUAUCCAUUGCGGUGAAGCUCUGUGGUUUUGUUGGGAGCCUCCGAGCAUUGUGUGGAGAUAGCCCCAACCUUGUUUGUAAAGGUUCGGUCGCCGCCUUCAAGGGCACCAAUAGUAGAAUCACGACAUCUCGCAUUGUGUGAGGGCNNNNNNNNNNNNNNNNNNNNNNNNNNNNNNNNNNNNNNNNNNNNNNNNNNNNNNNNNNNNNNNNNNNNNNNNNNNNNNNNNNNNNNNNNNNNNNNNNNNNNNNNNNNNNNNNNNNNNNNNNNNNNNNNNNNNNNNNNNNNNNNNNNNNNNNNNNNNNNNNNNNNNNNNNNNNNNNNNNNNNNNNNNNNNNNNNNNNNNNNNNNNNNNNNNNNNNNNNNNNNNNNNNNNNNNNNNNNNNNNNNNNNNNNNNNNNNNNNNNNNNNNNNNNNNNNNNNNNNNNNNNNNNNNNNNNNNNNNNNNNNNNNNNNNNNNNNNNNNNNNNNNNNNNNNNNNNNNNNNNNNNNNNNNNNNNNNNNNNNNNNNNNNNNNNNNNNNNNNNNNNNNNNNNNNNNNNNNNNNNNNNNNNNNNNNNNNNNNNNNNNNNNNNNNNNNNNNNNNNNNNNNNNNNAACUGUAACUUGUUAAGUAUAGGUUGCCCACCUAGUUGUUCAUCUAGAGAACCUUUUAUUGUUAACUGUAACUUGUUAAGAAAAGCCAAAAAUUGGUAGUUUCCUAUUCACCCCCCUCUAGUCAACCAUAUCGAUCCUUUCAAGUUCCAAAUCAUCGUAAAUUAAAAAUGCAAGUACGCUAUUUGGUGGUACUAUAGUCAGUAAAAAGAUAAUCCGAGAAAGGCAUCUUCAAUGCAAUUUGCAAUUUUUGUGAUACAAAAACUACAAAAAAAAUCAUGGGUAUAAACAUGCUAUUAAUAUGAAUGUAUAUUUCAGAAAGAAAAGAACAUCAUUACCUAGAGACCACUCCACUUAACAUAAUCCAUCGACAAAGUUGACGGUUGAACAUCACCAACAUAUUACGAAGUUGAUAGAACAUCAUGUGUCUGGAUGUAAAGUCACUGGAAUUUACUAAGUUGCAUACCCCAAUCCCUUGGUCAAGAGUGUGAUGCCAAUUAAGGUAAAAAAUAGAACACAUCUUGUGAUGAAGCAUUUGAAGGAAACAUUAGUAGAUAUGGAAGUCAUUAACAUGUCAGUCUUGUUGUUGCAAAUAAAUGUGGUGAAGAUAGAAGAAUAUGCUAGGAAGGCAAUGUAUCUUCAACCUAAUUAUCUUAGUGCAAUACUUGGAUAGGAGCCAAGGUAUCUUCACCCUAACUAUAUUACUUCAAUAAUUUAGUGUCAACUUCUUCAAAGCAAAAUAACUACUUAGAUGGCAAGUUAACUCAUUUUCUCCAACAUGGACAUCAAACAGCUCAGGUUGAUUCAAAGUUCUUAAACCAUGUCUGACUAUUGGACAUAACACACUGCUACUUGUAAACUGCAUUGAAUUUUUAUCCCCAAAGAAGAGAGGAUGAUGCAGCACAGAAGAGUAAGUAUUUCUCUCAGUUAAGAAACUAAGGUUAUCAAUCCAGUAGGAGAACCAAGCAACACCAGCACCUGCACACACAACGCAAACCUUCGCACCCAAUGUAGACGAGAGGUUGUCAAUCUCUCGGUGGUCAAGAAGCGAGAUUAAAUGACAUAUGAUAGAUUCAUAGAUUGAUAAAAGAUAAAAAAGUGCAGCAAGUAUUUUUGGUAUUUUUCUGUAAGUAAACGAGAUUGAUCUUAUAAUAAAAGUAGACCCUGGGGCGUAGGAUUCACUAGUGGCAUCUCUCUCAAGAAAAUAGUAUACGGUUGGUAAACAAAUUACUGUUGGCCAAUUGAUAGAAAAACAAAUAUUUAUGACGCUAUCCAAGGCAAUGAUCAUGAUAUAGGCAUCACAUCCAAAUCAAGUACACCGACUCCUGCCUGCAUCUACUACUAUUACUUCACACAUCACCGCUAUCCAGCAUGCGUCUAGUGUAUUAAGUUCAUGGAGAAAUGGAGUAAUGCAUUAAGAACGAUGACAUGAUGUAGUCAAGAAAAAAGCAUAUAAGAAUUCAUCUCAACUUCUUAUCCUUAAUGGCAACAAGACAUGCGUAUCAACUCCCCUUCUGUCACUAGGACUGAACACCGCAAGAUCGAACCCAUUACCGAGCACCUCUUCCCAUUGAAAGAAUAUCUAAUCUAGUUGGCCAAGCCAAACCAAAGCUUCGGACAAGAAAUACAAGGCUAUACUAAAUCAUGCAUAAAAGAUAUCAGCAAAGAACUCAAAUAAAACAAGGAUAAAUCUGAUCAUAAACUCACAAUUCAUCGGAUCCCAACAAACACACCACACAAAGUCAUUACAUCGAAUGGAUCUCCAUGAAGAUCAUGGAGAGCGUUGUAUUGAGAUACAAAGAGAGAGAGAGAGAGAGAGAGAGAGAGAGAGAUCCAUCUAGCUACUACCUACGGACCCGUAGGUCUAUGGUGAAUUACUCAUGUAUCAUUGGAGAGGGGGCAAGGUUGAUGUAGAACCCCUCCGUGAUGAGUUCCUCCUCCGGCGGAGUACCGGAAAAGGCCUCAAGAUGGGAUCUGGCGAGAACACAUGCUUGUGGCGGUGGAAGAAGUAUUUCAUGGACCCCCUUGAGGGUUUUGGAAUAUUGCUGAAUUUAUAGUGGAGGAGGUAGGGCAAAUGGAGCGUGGAGGGGCCCACACAACAUCAAGCCCCCCUAGGGCGCGCCCUGGUGUUGUGUGGGGAUCUCCAACAAGAUCUUCCUUGGCCUCCAAGUUCUAGGUGAUCCUUAUCUUCAAUAAAAAAUCCUUAAAAAAAUUCGGGACGGUUUGAUCUUAUCUCAUAUUGAUUUCCUGCAAAACAAAAACAGGGCAGAAAACAAGAAUUGAGACUUGGCACUAAGUUAAUAGGUUAGUCCCCAAAAAUGAUAUAAAAAGGUAUAAAAUGAUAAAAAUAUCCAAGAAUAAUAAUAUCAUAGCAUGGAACAAGCAAAAAUAAUAGAUACGCUGGAGACGUAUCACACACGAGGAAGGUUCAAAUAAAAAAUUGAGCUUCCACCUAGAUAGAACUCACCAUGGGGAGUGAAACUUUUUAGCUCACAUAAUAUCAUGCAUUGGCAUCAGGAAUUGUGUUAUGACACCAGAUAUCUAGCAUACACAUAGUCCCAUCAGUGAUUUUACAUAACAAAGAUAGUGGACUCGUAGCUGGCUCUACAAAUUUACUUUGAGUAAAACUACUCAUUUGACAUACAAAACAAAAUAAUGUACAAGUUUGUUUACAGCAAAGUACAUGGACAGUGCAACAAACUGAGCAAAGUAUCCCACUUAUGCCUUGGAUGGAUCUUUUUGCAAGGACACACAUACAACAUAUGGGUAGAGAGGGUGAUUGAUCUAAGAGAGAGUCGGUGGCGGCUUACUAUUGGCUCGCAUUUGCAUGCGACAUUGUUUUGGCUACAUGUUGACGACUCGCUUCGAUCCUAGAAACCCCUUGAUUAGCACGCAUAUGACGACCACGACGCCGUGCUUGGCAGAGACACAAAAUCUUUUUCCUCACUCUUCAUUUGCAUCUGUCAAUCGUGCAAUCUGUUUUCAUGGUGGAAAAAAUGCCCUAGGAUCUGAACCUCAAUGUGAAUCUAAGGUGAUUAGAAUGAGAAAAACAUAACAUUGCUCUAGGAGAGGGCAUAGUGCAUACAUAUCGGAUGUACUCGGUGGCGAUCGUGGUGUAAUGUUCAAAAGCCAAUCCAUCUUUGCAUGACCCUGGUGGCUUGCGUGCCGAGGGCCACCCUGAACUUGGUCAUGGUGCAACCACUCCUCUUGAUGCCCCAAACCAUCAUCGCUGUCGGCCUUGCUCGGCUGACUGACUUGCCCUGCACCCAAGGUUAUCCACUUCAUCAUCUAUGGCUAAGCAAAGAGGGACAAGAGGUUAAUAUGCGUAUCUUGGCGGCGGCGGCUAGGAGAAAUCAGGAUGGGAGAACCAUAACAAACGAGAGGAAUCCAUCGACUUCGAUGAGCAAUGCGACCAAACCCAACAAUGAGGAAGCUGUGAGGAGGUGCCUAUCCUCGAAAGGGAAUAGACCGAGGGAGUAUUCACGAUGGCGGCGGUAGCGUCACCCCACGAAGAUCCCAUGAUGGUGGUAAUAUAGGCGGCAUCGUCCCAAGAAGAUCCCCCGAUGGCGGCGGUGACGGCGGCGUCCCACGAAGACCCCCGCGAUGGUAGCGACGACAUGCUUCACGAUCACGAUAGGAAAUAGAUCGAGGGAGUCACGGUGUAUGCUUUUUUUUGUUGUGUGGGAGGUGAGGUAAAAAAAACUAGUAUGAGCGGGUGGUGGAAGAUGAGGCGAAAAUAAACCACAUGAAAAUAAACUGAUGAGACGAGACUAUCAACUCCUCAUUUGGAAGUAGAGAAUUGGUGAUGUAUGUAAAUAAUUAAUGUGAUUGAACGAGUUAUGGUAAGGUUAAUUAAUUCAUAUUUGGUUAUUUAAUAAUACAUUAUCAUUUAAUAACAUAGGUUUGAUUGUUAGAAACGAUCCACGUGUUAGGAAAGUUAGGAUUCAAAAUUGACUGCCACAUAAUUGAAUUUCAUUGUUUGGUAACGUAUUGUUGGUUCCUGUCAAUUGGAACAUGGCUGGUUAGAAAAACAUGAAAAGAUUAGAAAAGUUUUUAUUGAAAGGUGAAAAAAAAUUAAAGUGAAGAGGUGGUGGUUGGAGGUGAGACAAAAAAAACUGACAAAAUAAAUCGUGGAUGCUAUUCACCAACUGAGCAAUUAGGAGUAGAGAUCUAAACAAUUUCUACCAAAUUUACAGUUUCACACACAUCGUAACCAAAUAACUUUCACAUUUCCCAUGGUUCUCAGCUCACGACAACUUUCUCUUAACUUCUCAGUUUUUUUCUGAAUCCACGGCUCAACCAAACAAAAAAUUUCGACUCAUGUGCUUUGUUCGUUGUUUUUAGGGACGUGCUACACGUCCGCCAGCUGAUCUUUUCAAAAGAUCGGUCGGGCUGCGAGCUGUGGGAUAGUGUGCCAUCGAGCUGCCUAGCAACGUUCUUUAGUUUUGCAACACUGUUAGUGUUGCAGAAUCCUUGCAACAAAGACCAUGUUACAUAAAUAUUUCAACAUAGCUCAUGCUGCAGAAAACUUUUUCAACAUAGGUUAUGUUGUAUAUUUUUUCAUCUUUAUUUUUUUUGCAACAUAGGUAAUGUUAUGGAAUAAAUUUUUGCAGCAUAAGUGAUGCGUGUGUUGUAGAAAGCUUUGCAAUAGAACUCAUGUUGCAGAAAACUAUUGCAACGCAGGUCAUGUUACAUAUUUUUCAUCUUCAUUUUUUGUAACAUAGGUGAUGUUACAGAAGAAAUUUUUGCAACAUAAAUGAUGUUGAGAAUUUUUUUGCAAUGUAGAUUAUGCUGCAGAAACACGUCCGUCGUUGUGACGCAUGUUUCAACAGCACUGUCGUCAUUCGCCGUCGUAGUUUGCCAUUCGGUCAUCACAAUUGCAUCAUGGAGGCAGCCGGUGAUGAUUGGGGACUGCAUGGAGGAGCUUAGUGGGGUUGUGCCAAGCUCGGGCACUUCAAUGCAUCCAACAGCCCUGCGGCGGCCGACGGUCGUGGUGGUGGUGGGCGAUGGCCUCGCGAGCUACGACACUUCGCUAAGUGCAGGUGCCUUCUCCAUGAGUGCGUCGCUGGCCACCCAUGAUCAAAUGGAGAGACGACAGAGAGAGAUGGGAGAGAAAAGAGUAUCCUUAUCAGAUAAGAAAUGAAUGACUCUGUUCAGAUAAGGAAGAAAGGAGUAGUGUGGUGCACGGGCCUAUACGGAUCAGAGGCGGCGAACGACUCGCGGUGAAUCCAUCGGCUGAUCAAGAUCGUUUCCCUUAUUUGUAACCCAUAUAUUUUUUACAAAGUUACUACUUAUCAAUCGAGAGUUGGAUUUUACUACCCUGAAAUCUUCUAGAGCGAACAAUAAAAGCAUCCGUAAAUAGAGUAGGGCUUUUUGGAGCUCGGGGUCCAUGGAUUUCUUUAUUCUUGAAAAAUAAAAAAUUCAGACUUUUCGGUUUUAAAAGAAUCUAAGAAAGAAUAUGCAAGUACACAAAUAUGAAAUGUAUAUGUAUGCAAAAAUUCAGAAUAAAAUACCUUGAAAUGCGAUCUGUGUGAAAAAAAAAAGAAGUUCAUGCAAUUUUAAGAUGAUGUGAAAGUUUGUACCGCCGCGCGCGGCGGAGUCCAGCACAGCAGCACGGGAGAGUCGUUGCCACGGCACCCACCAUGUGCCAUUGCCGGCUGCCGCGCGAAUAAUUCGCCGCUCCAGCGCAGCGACGGGCCCCGCACCAACCUCCCCCACCCCACGUACCGGCGCCGGAAAUCACUCACGCACGCGCGAUGAACCCGAGCCAGCCACACGACAGCCGGCCGUCCUCCCGUUCGCCAGCUUAUAUUAGGCAGGCCGGCCUAAUCGCAGCUGUAUAAAAGCACCUCCCCCGCUCCCCCGUCGAAGCAACAAACGCCGGCGUCAAUCAGCACUGAGCAGCAACAGAGCGAACCUCCUUCCUCGCCCUCCUCUCCUCAAGCAAGCAAGAAGCCAGGCCACCAAGAUGGCAGGGCAGUUGAAGGCCAAGAUCCUCGCCGCGGCCGCCGUCGCCGUCGUCGUCGCCUCGUCUCUGGUCGGCACGGCCUCUGCGGCCGACGCGCCCGCCGCGGCGCCCACCUCCGGCGCCACCGGCGCCGCCCCGGCCUUCGCGGCCGUGUCGGUCGCCGCCGCCGCUUUCGUCUACAUCUUCUGCUAGGCGUGCGUGCGCUGUGGCGCCCGGUGGCGCCGCCGUGCGUGCGCGACGCGCAUGCUGUUCUUUUGUGGGAUUUGUUGUUGUGGGUUCAUGGGCGUUCCGGGUGCAAUUUCGUUUCUUGGUUCGGGGCUUGUAGUUGAUCGUGUGUGUACAGUGACGAUAUUAAAUUGAAUUCAUACGUUUCAUGUUCAUUCGUUUGCGAUUUGCACGUGGUAAAAAAAUCUGGCGGGUCACCUCUCCGUGACAGCCCACCUUUGUGUGUGUGUGUGUGCGUGUGCGUGUGCGUGCAUACGCGAUCUCACUCUCACGAGCUCUGUUGACUGUGGAUACACCUCUGUUACGAACCAUGUGGCAGCCAGAACAGCAAGAGAUACAAAUCAGCAGCUACUGUAUUUAUUAGUUGCUGAUCUCCUGUGCUGUUUUCUUCUUGGAAAAAAUGACAUGGGAUAAUGUGCGCUCCCCGUAGCCGAGUUCACCAUAAUUCUGAUCGACAAAACGAACUAGAUAGGCAGACCAUGAUUGCCUGUCGGGCCCUUGGACAGCACAGCUUCUAAAAUUCAAAUAUCCUAUUACAGAAAUAUUAUAUUUAUAGUUAAGUCAAAUUCGAAAAUUUUAGAAUGCUAAAUUCGUUUUUUGGGACAGAUUUUCCUUCUGAGUCAAUUUUUAAAACUAGAACUCUGUCUUUGUGUGCAAUUGGGUAAAAAUUUUGAUAAAAAAACAAAUGAGCUAUCAGC